UUAAACCUAGGCUGUAUACACUUCUUUGUUUAGGAAGUAGUUGUUUAUAAACAAUCUCAUUUCAAAAAUUACAUAAAAUACAAAGGUGUGUAAUUAACACUUUGGCCGUAUGCAUGGUAGGAUUGGAAUAAUUUUUACUAGAUUAUUUAUAUUACAUAAGGUUAAGACUGGAAAUAGUUGUCUAUGUAAAAUAUGUGGCAUUGAAGUGGGCAUGAUUGAGAUCAACGCAGCAGGCAGUAUAAUGCCUCAAAAUAAAAAAAAGUGUUUUUUAAAAAAACCACUAAAAUACUUUAAAUAUAAAGCUUGUAAUAUGGAUAAUUUCAUUAGCUUUAAAAGUUUUGAUGUACUUCUCUUAGGAUUCUAUUUUAUUUUUAGAAAAACAUAGGAUUCUGGGAUAUUUUCUUUGCUAUUUUUCUUUCCUAAGGUGGCGUUUAAAAAGAACACCACCUGUCAGGAGCUGAGAUGAUUUUGGUUAAAAAUGAUAGGCUUGGGAAUUUUUAAAUUUAUCUCCAGCCUUUGAAUAUUUUAAGAGUAUUCAAGGGGAGAAGCUUUAAAAAUCAUUUUAUAUGCCUCUAUUGUACAGCUAGUCUACUUUUUUCCCUAUUAUGUGUAAGGAAAAUGCUGCUGCUGUUAUUAUUAUUAUUAUUAUUAUUAUUAUUAUUAUUUGUCUUUUGACACAGGGUCUUGCUAUGCAGUUCAGACUGGCCUUGAGCUCACUUUGUAGCCCAGUUUUUGACCUCUGCACUGAAGAAAGCUCAGAUGAAUAUGGUACUGUAAGAGCAAAAUAUUAAUUAAAAUACUCAACAGCAGCUCUUCUUGAAAGCUGCUCCGAUUUGUGUCUUUGUAAUUAAAAUAGCCAAAAUCACACAAGGAAAUGUUUGAGAAGAUGGAAAUGCUAAUUACCCUGAUUUGAUCAUCAGACACCAUAUACUCAGUGUGAUUGAAAUACAUGGUGAAUACUUAAAUUAAAAAAUAAAAGUUACAGCAAAUGACUCAUUGUCUUUAAUUUUGAGAUAGGGUCUCACUGUAUAGCUGCAGGGUGGGGGAGAUACAGAUACAUAAUUUCAUUAUCCAGUUAAUGACUAUAUGCUUCAUGAAACAUUAUUGUUGCUUGAAUUUGUUCAAAACAGUCUUAUACAACAUGAUAUUGUAAAAAAUAUUUGGGACUUUCCUAUUGGCUCACAAUGACAACACAGUGAUGGCACUAAUUUUCUCGUUAUUGCAUUUUGUGCAGUAACUGUUUUCACUGGAAACAUUCUCAGUUCCUGAAAUCUGGUGAUUCAGACUGCGUGCACACGUGGUGAUACCUCUCACAUAUGUGCUUGCUAAUUCUUUGGAGAAGACAGGAAAGAGGGAAAAAUUGCUCAGCAGUGACAUUUGUUUCUCCAAACUGAAUGGCUUUGCUCAAGUUUGCUUUUCGUUACUCUACAUGUUGAAGACCCCACGUGUUGAUUUGGUUUAGGAAAAGUAGAAAAGCUGUGAUAUGAUUGAUGCAAGCAGCAGGAUUAAUACUUUCCUCUGUGAACAGGUUAAUUUGUCCUCUGUAGAUUUUUUUUUAAGAUUUAUUGGAGAAAAGAAAUAGAAAAAAGAAAUGAGAAAUAGGACUAGCUCCUGAGAGAUAGGAGGAAUCUUCAGUGGGUUGCCAAUGAGCCCAUCUCUCAAAGGAUGCUUUAUCAUAGAGCAGUCAUGAAGUAGGUACAAUAUGGGACAAAAUUAUGAUUAAUAAGAUUAUAAAUAUAGUUGCUUAGGUAAUAUUAAUAAGAGUAUAUGAAAGACAUCAUUAACCUGUAAUCCCAGUUUUAGUUGUCUACUGGGUGGGAGAGGAUGGCCCACCCUAAUGAGAAUCUCAAAAGUGGUACCAAUAAUCUCAAGCUUCUGUUUCCCCCUUAGGGAAGUCUGUAAAUUGGGCCAUUGUGAUUUUAAUCUUCUUCAGAUGCACCACAGUCACAGUUUUGAUGUGGUCUCAUUUUGGGCAACUGACUUCUUAGAGGGUCCAGCCCUGUCUGACUGCCCAUAAGAUUUCUAUGUAAUUUAGCUGUCUGUAAUGUUCCGUUCUCUAAAGAGCUAUCCCUAACUGCAGUUAGGGGAGAAGGGGGAUAGUUUCCAUCCAGCUGCUUUGAGCUGAGUAGGAUAUUACAGAGGGAGCAGUUUAAUUAUUAUAAUCUCCGAAUAUCAAGCACUUUGAUAUAAAAGUAUACCCAGAGGUUGUUACUUCUUACCAAAAAUUUUUUCCCCUGUGUUUUUGAGACAGGGUUUCACUAUGAAUUUUGGGGUAGCCUCAAACUUAAAACGAUCCUCCUGCCUCAGCCUUCUGAGUGUUGAUAUUACAGGUGUGCACCACCAUACCCGGCUUAUGGUUGUUUUAGUGAUAGAAUCCCUGCAGAAUGUUAACAGGCAACAAUUACAUAGUUUUACUGAGAAAAUUUGAGAUCAAGAGCCACACACAGUGUUUCAGCGUGACAAUCAUGAUACUAUCUUUGAAACACAUUUAAAAGUCUGAGUAUAGGGUAACCUUUUUAGUCAGUCAUCUCCAUCUAUACAUAAAGAAGCUCUCACCUGAUUUGUUAUCUUUUAAUAGGAUGUCAUAGAGGAAGCAUGUGACAUUGUCUGGACUGCUCCUUGCUUGUCUAAGUGUCGUGACACAUAUAUAACAUACAGAUCACAUCAAAAGAAACUGUCAUUUGACCAGUGAUCUCAUGCUGGCUUGACGUGUACUAUCACAGGUAGCUCCUUCAAAAGACCUUAGUGGGCCCUCUAAGACGAUAAAGGGAAAUACUGUAACUCCCACCCUACUAGAUACCCAGUGCACUGCGUUUGUGUUGUCCGAAGUUGAAGAAUGAAUUCGAAGGACCAACAGAGGUUAAGAGUAGGAGAACUUACUGAGCAAAUGAAAAAAAAAAAAAAUCUUAACUAGACCUAGGCAUGGUGACACACACCUUUUUUUCCUUUCUAGUUAAGGUUUUAAACUGUGUCAGCCAGACCUACACUUCCCAGAAUUUCCUCUUCUCCUUGGCGCUGUCAGAUUAAAUUUAAUCACAGCAGAAGUUUGUAUGUGGUUUGUGGAAUAAGUAGAGCUGAAGCUCUACUCCAAAGGUUGUCGCUGAUUCCUGGUGGGGAGUGGACACAAAGUAUGGGCAGAAUUCCCGCCUGUCUUCAGUCACUCCUGUCCCCCUUCACCUUCCCGACCACCAUGCCAAGCGGUCACCAGGUCUCCACUGGAAACUUUGGUAGCAGCUGCACACUGUCAGCUGCCGACCAGCCCCCUGCACAGAUUUCACUGCAGCAGCCUGACAUUCUCACGCUCAUUAGGGACUCAUCUCUGGUCCUUGGUGGACCUUUGAACUUGCCUAGUUUGUCCCACAGUUGAACCAGUUUUAAUAUUUAUGAUAAAUUUCUUUUUUUUUUUUAGGUUUUUUGCUUUGGUUUUGGUUUUUGGUUUUUGGUUUUUGAGAUAGGAUCUUGCUUUGUAGCAGAGGUUGGUUUUAUAUUUUGAUCCUCCUACCUCCCAAGCACUGGGAUUACAGGCAUGCACCACCACACCAGGCUCCAUAGAUUGUUUAUUUAUUAAUACUCAUAAUGACAUUGGUUCCUGAUACACCAAGAUUAUGGCAUGUGACAAAAUUAUUACAUGCCUUAUGUAUGACUGAAUUGUCUCUACGGAGAAUAUAUUAAAUCCAUCAAACUUCUUCCAUACCAGUACCAGCCAUAGAAAAUGAAAUUUGCAUGAGAAUUUUACUCUUAUUUAUAACUUGGAUUUCACAGUAGUGUGUUAACUAGAAUGAGCAAACUUGAGUAACCUCUUUCCCACCCCUGCCUUUCUGGGGAAAUGGAACAUAGUAGUCGUUGACCAUCGUGAUCAACAGCAGCCUCGCCAAGAUGGGAGUGAGUCUUCACAAAGACACAAAAAAGAGGUCAGGAAAUAUGUGAUCAGUAAUCAGAAAACUUGAAAGCUCAGAUUGUCAUGAUAGUCAGAGCUAUAAAUCUGCCAGUGAAGCUGCCUUGAGACCAGUCUGCACUCAGAUUGUCACAUUAAAAUAGCUGAAGGUGUCCUGACUGCCUGUCGUCUAACAGGAACUUUGCCCACGUCACUUUCUUACCGAAGCUGUGUUAUGUGGGCCAGUUCCAUUCUCUAGAGGAUUAAGGGCUGAUUUCAUCAAAAAGGAUGAAAAGUGAACAAAAUCUUUUACCAGUAUGAAAGGAAUAAAUGAAUUUUUAUGAUUCACCUUUUUGAAACUGAGGUGCAACCGCAUAGCAUACUGCUGUGAUUUGAGUUGUUGACCCAGAUGAUUGGCUGACAAAUCAUUAAGGUAAAGCCUUGCAGGAUAACCUGAGCUCAGCGGUGCUGGACAGAAAUCCAGUAUUCUAACACACCAGGUCUUUCCCCGAAAUUCACAUAUAAUGACUUUAUUCUUUGUGAUGUUAGCUCCCUCUGUGGAACAUCACUAAGAUUGCAGCUCAGUUUUUCAGUAAUUUGGCAAAGCCAUUGAAAUAUUAUCUUCAUUAUAAAAUUUUCUUGUAAAAUUUUAUUUUAUAUUCUAAUCACUCCCACAUUGAUUUUUUAUAGUAUAAAUGUUAUCUUUAUAAAAGUAUCUUAUUUUUGGUGUGGUUGCAUGUGCUAUGAUCACAGCACCUGAGAGGCUGAGGCAGGAAGAUUACCAGUUUGAGUCUCACCUGGGCAACUUAGUGAGACCCUGGCUCAAAUUUUUUAAAAACCUGGAAUGUAGCUUAAUGUAAAGGCCCUAAGUUCGUUCCCUAACACUGGGAAAAAUAAUAAAUGUACCUUACUUUGUAUAUUUUAGUGCUUUUUUUUUUUAUACCAGGAAUCGAAUUCAGGGCCUUGUGCUUGCCAGGCAGGUGCUGUGCCACUGAGCUACAUCCUCAACCCUAUUCCAGGUUUUAGUAGCAAAUACAGAAUGAAAAUGUCCUCUGUGUGAUUUCUAUGUGUGUUUCCCCACCCUCCUUGCCCCGGCUUUCUGAGACAGGAUUUCACUAAGCAGUGUGGCCUGGCCUUGAACUCGUUUUAUAAUCUACGCUGACCACACACAGCAAUCCUCCUGCCUCAGCCUUCCUAGUGCUGGGACUACCCUCAUGCAACACCAUAUCUGGCUCCAUGUGAUUUCUAAAUGUUUAAGUCUUUUUUGUCUUAGAUGAGAAGAAGUAGGACAAAAGCAUAUCAGAAGAUUUGGGAGGAAAAAAACAUUUUGAAGUUGAAGUGGAUCUUAUAUAUCAUAUUUGAAAUUAUUCUUUUGAUAUUUUUCAGCAUGUUUCACUAUUGAGUUGGGUGGAAAAAUACUAACUAACUAUUAUUUUGUCUCAUGGAGAAGGAAAAAACAAAAUUUCCUGAUAGUAGAAAGCACAAAGAGAAAUAUCUUGGUAGGGUCCAAAAAAGAAAAUAGAAGAAGCCAUGUGUGGUAGUGCAUCCUGGUAAUGCCAGUACACUGGGAAACUGAAGCAAGAGGGUCACACUUCAAGCCCAGCUCCUUAGCAAGAUCUUGUCUUAAAAAAGAGCUAGUGAGCUUACCGUAAAGCCUUUGAAUGUCAUCUCCAGCACCACACCAAAAAAAAAAAAAAGUUUCAACUGUGUAGUUUCUGUGAACUUACGCUCUUGUAGUUCUGCAGCAUUUUUAGGUAUACUGGAAGCUGAGAAACGGAGUGGCACUCAGAGAAUUGGAGGCACCAACCUUUAUUACGCCAGGGGCCCAGAGGAGUUUGGGAGAGGACAGGAUACUGUGAAGCUGUUUGCUAAUCAGGUUAGGGUGCAGCUGGUACAGGAAGAGGAGGAGGAGGGUUGUCAGCAGGGGCGAUCAGAGUCAAAAAGUUUCGUUUUCCCCAGAGUAGGAACAUCCUUUAUUAUCAAAUUCUGCUACCCUUUCCCUGUGUAGAAGUGUGACUGCUUCUUUCACCAUUACUUUCCUUAACCCAUUAUGUAUUAAAUAAUAAACUGAAUAAUUAACUCUUUUAAGAAGUUUUUCUUGCUAUAAUGUAAGCUCCAAGAGGACAUCCAGUGUGGAAUUUAGCAACAGGAGCAAACUUGUGUCAGCCACAGAGCUAGGGAGUAACACAGAACAAGGAGGCUGGGAAAGAGCUAAGGGCCACACAUGCUCCCUGCAUAUCCCACUUUAGCUGUUUUCUCUUUAUGUGAUUUGAAGGACACUGUCAGGAUCACACAGGUAAUGGCUGAUUGCUUGCAGUAUGAGCCAUGAAACCCAGGCCCUCAAGCUUGCUAGGCAAGUGCUCCACUAACGAGCCACAUUCCCAGCCCAUGAGUGGGUUUUCAGGCAGUUUUGUAGGAUACUUAUCUUUGAGCUCUUUGUUACUACAGUGCAUCUUUAUUAGUCUGUUGGAAUACAGCUUGUACAGUGCGGUAAUGCAAAGAAAUCAAGGAUACUUAUACUUAUGAAUUUGAUAUUGGACAGUUGUUUAAAGGAAUAAAUGCUUAUUAAUAUAACAAAUCCUGGAGCUCGAGUGGCGCAAGCGGUUAACAUUCGGUACUUACAUAACAAGUCCAUCUAUUAUUAUUGUUUUGGCACUGAAGAUUGAACUUAGGGCCGUGUGCAUGGACUAUUUCAGUGCUCUACCACUGAGCUAUGUCCCUACCCUCUUUUAUUUUUUUGUUGCUGUUUUUUGAGACAGGAUUUUCACUGUGUUGUUCAGGCUGCCCUCAAACCCAUAGUGAUCCUUCUGAGUCAGUGCUAGGAUUACAAGGCUAUACCACCAUGCCUGGCCCCUUUUUAUUUUUUGAAAUGGUCUCACUUGCUGUGAUUAGCCUCAGCGUUUUUUGAGUUGUCAGGAUUAUAGGCAUAUGUCUCCAUGCCUGGCUCUCUUGUUAUCUGUAGAGCAUGUGGGAUAUCCUUGAAAUGGUGAUAUUGUUUUCAUAUUCAAUAAAAGCUGUAAAACAGUAUAUAACAAUAUAUACAUAUUUUUCUAGGGGGUUUUUACAAUUUUUAUAUUUAUUUAUUUAGGUUUUUUUUUUUUUUUUUUUUUUUUUUGCGACAAGUCUCACUAAAUAGUGUAGGCUGCCCUUGAAUUUAUUUAUGUAUUGAAGGCUUGCCUCGAAUUCAUGAUGAUCCUCCUGCUUCAGCUUCCAGAGUACUAGGAUUACAGAUGCUCACUGCCAUGCCUGGCCCUUUUGUUUUUGAGACAGAGUUUUUCUGUGUAGUUUAAACUGGCCUUGAACUCUUCCCUCAGCCUCCUGAGUUCUAGAAUUUCAGGUGUGUGCCAUCAUGCCUGGAAGUAAUUAAUAUUAAUUAAUGUUUUGGAUUUUGGUUUCAUCAUGCAGGCUGGCCUCCAACUCACAGCAGUCCUCCUACCUUACCCUCUUGAGCCCUUGGAUUAUAGGACUGUGGCAUCACUCCUGGCUUUAAUUUUUUAAAUCAGUUACCUCCUCACAGUCAUUAAGAGUAAAAUCCUGUCUGCUUCUACUAGUCUCUGGGAGAAAUCUCUGACAUCCGAUCAUGCGCUGCCCACACACACACCCCUGCUAUCCCGCCAAGGCCAUAGGUUCACUCUGGAAGACAGAAGGCAGUGUAUAGCAGGAGUAGGAGCUUUGGGCAUCUGAACAGUUUCUUCAUAUAACUUUCUAUCCUCUGGACUUCUCUGAAUCGAUCACCUAUAUACUGGUUCCAUUUAAUUAUGAACUGUUGCAGUGCACAUCCAAUUUUCUAACUCAGUUUAUCAGAUAAUACCCAGCUUCUGGGCAACUCAGGUUACGUGGUAACCUGGUAUCCCAUGGUCAAGCGUUCAGUUUCCAUUAAAGGCCAAGAGCAGGCCAGACGCAAUUUUUCAAAGGGAAAGAAGUUGUCUGCAGAUGACAGCAGAGCCUUACUCCAAAAUCCCAAUAUCUCUACUGUAGUUCACAUAUGGGGGCCUGCCAGAGACUCCAAACAGCAGCGCUCUCUGCCCCUGACACUUCAGGUUCUGUUGGAUCUGCUGGAUCAUUUGGCCCCAGUGGAAGAGCAGCCUGCUCCUGUUUCAGAGCCUUCUCUUGUUCUAGGGUCCACUCAAAACUCACAGUUUUCUGAUUCCUUCUGCAAAUAGUCUUGAGUGAAACACCUAAGUGAGGAAAGUGUUGCUUCCAAAAUCCAAAAUAGGCCCAUUAGUGUUAUGCCUAUUUUGGCCAUAGGGGGAGCCAGGUGAAACAUCUUUUACCUUAGAAGGGAUAGCCUUAUGUGCCCCACACCACUAGAAAUGUCACUGAGAUAGAAGGACCUUGAGUUUCAUUUGGGUUUGUUUCCCAUCUUCUGGUUCACAAAUACUUUAUUAAGAAAUGCUUCCCUCCUGCUCCCUCUGGCUUACUUAUCAUCAGUGUAAGGGACUAGGGAGAUAAAGGUGAUCAAGAUGCCUUCGAACUAAAUUGUGAUACAGGUCUGAAGAGUUCAUAUAAACCUGAAGUAAGACAAUACUGCUGGCUUUAUCAGCUAAAAGCAAACAGUCUUCAGCGGACUUACUGGAUAGAUACGGUAAAAGUGGCAUUUGUCUUCUUUUAGCUGCAUACCAAGUACCAGGAGAUGAGUUAAUGUGCUCAAGCAAGGAAAACACAUCUGGUACAGCAGCUGCAAUCCGAGUUACCACUGGGCUCACUUUAUGGUGAUCUCGCGUCACUCGCCAAGACCUGUCUGGACAGGCAGAUUGGGAGAAUUAAAUGGAGAUGUGGAAACCACCACCCCUUGAUAGUGCCAGUGCCUCCGGGGAUACAGUAAUGCUUUCUGUUUACUAUUUUACCCAAUAAAGGGAACUGUAAUGGCUUCCGUUUGACCAUUCCAACUAUAAUCAGUCUCACAGUACAGGUUAAGGAACCAACAUGAAGAUUCUGAGUACCGAGUUUACCUGUCUUAGUUAUAUAUCCUGGAAGAGGGGAAAUGACUACAAAAUGGGUUUGAGGAGCUCUUGGACCCACUGUGAAUCUGACCUUUGCCAAAACUAUGUUGAUCACCUGGCUUCACAGGCCCCUUCCCUCACCGGAAGGCCACAGUGAGGUUUUAGAUCCCCUGGAAUCAGUGAUAGUUCAGAGCCAGUGUCCAGUAGCCCUAGGAAUGUCUGAUAAUUUCCCUUCCUCAAAUGUAGUUCCCAGGUAAAAGGCCUUUAGGUCCCUUUGGGGAAGGAUAGGAGAAAGAUUGUAUAGAUUUUUGGUAGUGCACAAAGGUACCCCAUCAAGGGGACCUUGCUUCUCCUUCAUUCAAAGGGUUCUAGGUCUAUAAACAAGCUCAACUCUGGGAAUUAGCUGAGAGGUUGUGAUUCUGUUACUGUGAUUUGAAGUAGGUUUCUGUUCAUUUGCCCUUAAUUUUUUUUUUUUUAAGAUUAUAUAAAUCUAGUAAAAAUUCAGUAGGCCUUGUGUCUGUUUCACCUUUGGGAAUACUGUGGCUGAUUGGCCACUGCCAUAGACCAAUUCUGAUCACUAUUCUGCUUUUGCUGUCCAUUUUGGUAAGUGCAAGCACUUUGCCUUUGGCAGCUAAGUGCUGCCCCUUGACCUGUGCCACUCAGGAUCCAGCCAUGCCCAUUGCCCUUAAGUUUCCAACUGAGUUAACUGUGGUCCCCACUGUAAGGCCUGGCAUGGAGAGAAGAGCAGCCACAGGGAUCUUCGGGGAUGCCAGAGCUCCACUCACGAACCUGUUUUGCAAGGUGUUAGUGAAGAGUACAUUUUCUGGAUUAUCCCAGUGGGGCAGGCCAGGUUUAACAUGACAGAUCCACUCCAGUAUUCCCAUUUGCCUUAGCCUUUGAAUCCCCUCAUCAACAGUAAACCAAAGAAUUUUAGGUACCUCUAACUCAUUCACAGUGGACCACCUUUUGAUCCAUUCUUCUGUCAACCAGCCAAAUAAACUGUUAACACCUUUGUUCACUCCACGAACUGCCACAUUAAAUUCAACAUCUCUACUUAUUGGACAAACUCAGAAACUCAUUCUGGGAACAGCAGAUCUCCUGACCUUACCCUUAGGACCUUCUGUGAUUUGAGCCUGGCUUUAGGCCUAGAGGCAAAAAUGUGUGUUGAUCUUGAGGGGUGUCAGUAUUAUCAUGCUUGGUCAACACUGGGUUAAUUUCCUCAGGUAUAGGAGAGGCCAGUACCUCAGGGGCCAGGACGCCUGACACUGUGGGUGGGGACAUCUCUUCAUCUGGCAAAAUACUGUAAUCUCAUGAGCUUCUACAAGCUCAGCCUCCUCAGCUUCAUCAGGAUGUCCUCAGACAUCUCCCUCCCGAUUUAUGGGAUGCCAUUCUUUUCCAAUCAAUGUUCUCCCCUUACUUAAAAUACCUUUCAAGGCUGAGCAUUAAACUUACACUGUAUUUCAGCCAAGCAUAUUAUGAGGGCUUGUGUCUGGAUUUUUGCAGUAGGCUCUGGGACUAAAGGGUCUUUCAUAACAUAUUCAUUAACUUUUAGAUGCUAGUGCAUACCUGUAAUUCCAGUACCCAGGAGGCUGAGGCAGGGAGCCCCAUUGCCAAGUUAAGGCCAGUCUGGGCUACAUUAUGAGUUCAAGGUCAGCCUGAACUGCACAGUGAGACUCUAACUCAAAAAAAAAAAUCCUUUUGGGUCUGAAGCUGAGAAAUUGAGUCUUUGAGUUUCUUAUUUUCCUUUAUGAAUUUGCUUUCACAGUUAAGACUUUUACUGUGCGUUUUGAGCUCGAGUUCGUCCAGAGAUGCUAAGAGCUACUAGCCAGCAUCAUAUUGCCCACUCUGCCAGAAAUGCUCAGAAGUAUAAUAUAUAGAGUGGCUAAUUCCUCAUAAGUGGUAAAUUAGGAUAAUCAAAUGUAUACCUACAUUGCAUAUUGCUUCAGACAGUUCACACCAAGGCUAUCAGUAUUCCCUGCUGUGUCACAAGGAGAGACCAUGGUGUCUCACCAAAUUAGAGAGCAAACUUCAGGAACCACUAACACCAUUAAGAAUUCUAUCUUUACAGUUCUGUUUUCUCUAGAGCCAGUCUUGGUAGCAAAAACUUUGUCAGUGCUCAGAGAAGCAGAUUUAAUGUGAGAUACAUAAAUACAAGGCCGGCCUACAGUGGCUGCCCACAGAGUCAGCCGUGGAAGAGUGCAGAGGUCUAGUCUGUGCACCAGGGACCCGAAGGAUCCAGUCGCAGGUCCAAAGCUGCGAGCUUACUGCCAUGUCCCGGGUGAGUCCAUGUCAGGGGCUGAAGGGGAGCAGGGAGACAUCUGAGGUGAAGACCUGAGCUCUGCAGCAGGAACAGAAGUGAGCCUUCCUGGUUUCCCUUUUAUCCCAUUCAGGAUACAGACCUGUUAGCAGCAUUUUUUUUUUUUUUUUUUUUGUCUUUUUCCUUUUUAUCGGUACCGGGGAUCGAACUCACGACUGCCUGCUUGCAAGGCAGGUGCUUAUGCCACUGAGCUAAAUCCCCAGCCCCCGAUACAGACCUGUUAGUUGGUGCCGCUCACCCAGAACUAUUCUAAUCCAAUUAGUCAAAUUGACACUGUAGGGGCAGGGGAUUUAGCUCAGUGGCAUUAGCGCCUGCCUUGCAAGCUGGGGUCAUGAGUCCCGGUCCCAAUUUAAAAAAAAAAUUGACACUGUGAAUUAACCGUCACACCUGUGGUCUUAGCCACUCUAUAUAUGAUACUUCUGAGCAAAGAGUCACAGGAAAGACAAGGAAAAGCUGAGUCUUCUGAAAAAUGUAACUAAUUGUAAUGCAUGAUUCUGUCUGUAAUGGACUCUGAGGGGGAAAGGGAUACUUUAAAGGGUGCCAUUGGGACAGUUGGCAUAAUUGAAUGUGAACUAUUAGUGCUGUAUUAACUGUUAAGUACACUGUAUUAUGGCUGGCAGUAUAUUCAGGAUCAGAGCUUGUGGUCUGCAUAGGUUUUAUACUUGCAUGCAGGGAAAAACUCCCGAAUUAAUAAGGUGCGAGCUGCUGUAAGAAAAGACAGUGGUCUUGUUUUUAGGAAAUAGAACACCCACAUUUUGGGGAGUAAAAGAUGUUUGUAAUAUACUCAUGGUUUGCAGUGACAGUGAGUAAUAAUGAAUUGCAAUAAUAAAAGAAAUCAAAUUGUGGUAUGAUGUUAAUAGUAGAUACAGUUGAAUGAUAUAUGAAUUAUUUGAUUAAAAAAAAUUUUUUUUGGUACCAGGAAUCAAACUCAUGACCUCAUGCUUUCCAGGCAAGUGCUUAUGCUGCUGAGCUAAACCCAUGACCCGAGUUAUUUGAUUCUUGAUAUUAUUUUAUAUGUUUGAAAUUAUUUCAAAAUAAGAAAUUAAAAAUAUUGUCAAGUAUCACAAGUAAUGCAAUACUUUAGGAAGCACUUGACCAUUUGCGAUGGAAAGUAUUUUUACAUAGUUAAAAUAUUUUAAAAAGAAAACCAUGAGACUUCCUUCAACCUGCUUUACUAAACUGCUACAUGUUUUAAAACACAGAAAUUCAUUCUGGUAACUUUCUCUGCUGCAUUCUCCUCUGCCCUCUUUGGGUUAGGUAUAAAAAUCAUCAGGUAGGUCAGAAUUAAGACCACCUGCAUCCCAACUGUUUUUUUUUUUAAAGAGGAAAGCUCUUGAUGUGUUGCUCCAGCUGGCCUCAGGUGCCUAAGCUUAAGUAACCUGCCUCAUUUGGGAUCUUCUGCCUCAGUUGGAAGCAGCCAACAAUAGGCAUCCACAAGUGUGCCUGGCGGAACCGGUUCCAGUUGUGUGACCAGUUACUUCUUUAAGUGUUUUUUUGUCUAAAUUAUGAAAAUGAUAGCAUUAAGCUCAUAGAAUUAUUGUCAGGGUUAAAUGAUGGAUUGUCAUGUUAAUAACACUUCCACUAUUUUUUCCUCCAGUUUGUUAGAUGAAAUGUAACAUAGAAUUUACUAUACUAGCCUUUAAAAAAAAAUUAACAUUAUUAUUUUGCAGUACUGGGGGUCAAACCCAGAGUCUCAUGCGUGCUAGGCAAGGCUGUACUUGCUGCCCUUGAGCUGUCCUUCCAGCCCUGAUAGCCAUUCCUAAAUACUUUCACACUGUUUUGGAACCAUCACUAUCUUAUGUCAUACGAAGUCUUCAUCUUACAGAGCUGUAACUUGGCACCCACAGUAACUCCAGCCCUGACGACCAUCAUUCUCUUUUUUGUCCCUAUGAUUUUAAUUACUUUUAAUCUCAGUUAUACAUUCUGGAAGAGGGGAAAUAAUUACAGGAUGGACUCGAGGACCAUACAAAUGGAAUUAAACAAUAUUUGUCUUUUUGUAAAUAUCCUAUUUUACUUAGCUUUCAGAAUUCAUUCAUAUUGUAGCAUUUACCAGUUUCCUUCUUUUUUGCUUUCUUUUGUGAUACCUGGUAUUGAACCCAGAGUCUUCUCACUGAGCUACAUCCCCAUCCCUUUUUUAGUUUUAAUAUUGAGACCAGGUUUCACUAAGGCAUCAAGUUGCCCAGGCUGGACUUGAGUUUAUGGUUCCACUGCCUCAGCUUCCCAGAAUACUAGGGUUACAGGUGUGCCCCACUUUGCUGACUAUAAUUUAACUUUUUAAACCCAGUGUCAGUUAUUUUGAAAAAUGUGCAUUGUAUGAUAUGAAGCACUUCUUUUUAUUGCUAAUUCAGGUUUUGUUGUUUGAGAAACUUAUGUGGAAGUACAGGCUUGUUAUGUAAAUUUUUUCUAUUUGGAAUAUUUUUUAUUGAUAUUGCAGAACAGAAUAUAUCAGUAAGAGUAUUUUGAAUUGGUAUUAUUUGUAUUAACAGUGUUACUAAUAAUUGUCCUUUAAUUCUCCACAUUUAUGAGGCAGAGUAAAUAAAACCAUUAAUUAAUUGCUGGAACGACUUAGGAUAAGGUGUAAUGUCAGUGUAUUGGAAUUUUAUUUAAAGUUAAAAAAAACACUUAUUUUUGAGAGCAGUUUUGGUUUGUAGUAAAAUUGAGCAGAGAGGUGGCUGAGGAUUUAGCUCAGCGGCAUAAGCACCUGCCUUGCAAGCAGGUGGUCAUGAGUUCUAUCCCCAGUACCGAUAAAAAGAGAAAAAGAAAAAAAAAAAUUGAAAAAAAUUGAGCAGAGGUAUGGAGAUUUUCCACAAAUCUCUAGCUUCCACACAUGCGUUGGCUUCCGCAUUAACCUUUACCACCUGAUCUGGCAAGCACAAUGUCUUGAGUUUGAUUCUGCUACCUCCACGCCAUCCCCACACCAAAAUUUUAUCACCUGAGAAAUAUGUUUGUUAAAAUUGAUGAAACAACGUUGACACAUUAUUAUCCAGAUUAAACCCUCAAAAGCAAAAAAUUAAAUUUUUUUCAAUACCAAGUAUCUAAUCCAGGGCUUCAGGCUUGGUAAGGAAGCACACCCCACACAACUGUAUCCCUCCUUGUCCACUUACAACAAUUUUUUUUUACAAUAAUUUUUUUGAAAGUCCUAGUGUGUAAUGUUCUAAGCCCUCUGCCACAGCCAGUUGAUGUAUGAGAAAUCUUGUGAUGACUGAGUGUUCUCCCUCCACUUUGAACUGGUGGUAGAGUUUACUUCUUUGAAUAGCACCUUCCACUGCUUCCUAGUUGAGGAUCAUAAUGCUUGUGUCAGUGCGGAGCCGUGAGCACUCUGGGAUCCUUCCCCUUGGCUUCGGUUGAAGUGAUGGAUGUGAAUUAGUUCCCACGUGCAUUAGUUAUAUUUGACCUGUUUUCCUAAACUGAAAAUCUGAUCCUGUAUCUUGCAAGUGUAGAAGCUUUGAUUGCAUGAUGACGCCCACAGGACUCCACCACCUGCUUCUCAGACCCGGGUUGUGGCAUCUCUUUGCAGCCUCCUGGCCGCGUCCCUCCUGCCCGAAUGUCCACAGCCCACUAAAUCCUCCUCCUCCUCCCAGGAUUUGCUAUUCUCACCAUCUCCAAUUCCUUUUCAGAAUUCAAAUCUUUUCCUGGAAAGCUUCUUUGACCUCCCAAAUCUGGGUUAUGCUCAGAGUUUAUGUUAGAGUAAUCAUUAGAUUACUUUGUAAUUCUGUUUACUUUUACCUCCUCUAGGCUGGGAGCUAGCCAAAGAUAAAGAGGCUUUUAUUUUUGCAUCCAAGAGCUUGACUGUGUGCUGAGUGUAUUCUAGGAGCUCAGUACAUUUUUAAUGAAUAAAUGUCAUGCUUAAAUAUCUCCAACUGUAACCAUUCUUCACUUGUUCAUACUUUUUCCUGUAAUGCUAAUAGUGGUUCCUUGAAGGAUCUUCCUCCCUCUAGGCUUAGCCUGUCUUUUAUUCAUAGUGCUUAUUCUUUUAAUGGUCACUGUACUUUUCAGUCUAACCUGCUGAUUGUCCACCUUUCCAAAAUGCUGAUAGGAGCACAAUUCCUAAUGGGAAAUCUUGGAAGUGGCCUGUAUGUUCAGCAGCAGAUAAACAGAUAAAGUGUUAUAUUUACAUGUAAUAGACUACAAUACUGCUAUAAAGAAGGGUAAACUUGCAUUACUUGUAGGAAAAUGGAUGCACCUUGGGAUAAUGUUAAGUGACAUAAAUCACACGCACAAGCUUAAGUAGGGCAUGGUGUCUCUUAUAUGAGAAACUCAAAGCAUAAAUAAAGAGCAAAAUAAGAGCUAGGAAACAAAGAUCGUCUGCUUGAUAACUUCAAUUUCUAGCUGCUCUCUAGAAAAUUUCCUCUUCAACUCUUACAAGUUUACUUGUAUUGUGCCAUAAUUCAUCUGUGUUUUUCCCGUAUUAGGGUGAGCUUUUUUUUUUUUUUUUCAUUUUUAUUGGUACCGGGGAUCGAAUUCACGACCGCCUGCUUGCAAGGCAGGUGCUUAUGCUGCUGAGCUAAACCCCCAGCCCUAGGGUGAGCUUUUUGAGGCUCCUAUUUUAUAUCCAGUUCUGCUAUCUAUGCUUCCUAGGUCUGCUUAGUAAAUGUUAUUAAACUGAAUUCUAUGCCUCUGGGUUAUAGAAUAAGUAUUAGUGGAAUUGCCAUUGAAUUUUAAGAAAAUGAUUUUUUUGUCACCAUCUGAUAUAAUUUUAGGACACUGAUACUAGUUUUGUUUUUUGUUUUUUUGUUUUUUUUGUCUUUUUCCUUUUUAUCGGUACCAGGGAUCGAACUCAUGACUGCCUGCUCGCAAGGCAGGCGCUUAUGCUGCUGAGCUAAAUCCCCAGCCCCAAUGAUACUAGUUUUUAAACCAUAGUCCAAAUGAUAAUAUUUUUAUUUAUUUCCCUUGUGUAUGUACUGAUGCAUUCUUUGGACAACUUGAAAUGAUCCUUAUUUUUUUGCUUUGAAUGUUCCAUUUAAUGUUUGAUUAAAAAGCUUUUGGGCCAGGGAUAUAGCUCAGUGGCACAGUGCCUGUCUGGCAAGUGCAAGGUCCUAAGUUUGGUUUCUGGUACAAAAGAAAAAAAAAAAGAGCUUUUGAUAUGUCUUUCAUCCCAUAAAAAGUAAUCAGGGUAUUUCUAGAGCACAAUUUUAUUCCCUUUAUCUUAUUUAUUUCAGCAGUUUUAGAAAUUGAAUUGCACCCAAGGGUUCACGCAUGCUAGGCUGUACCACUGAGCUAUUACUGACACCCCGUUCCUUUAUUCCAAACACCUGUUAUUCUUAUUCCUUCCCCUUAUUUGUUGUAAUUGGUGGGUGAUGUCAGAGAAAGCAAUGCUGGACAUUGGUUGGAGUGAUAAAAGCAGAUUUCUGGAAUUAUUUCAGUAAGGGAAAAGAGAACUAAGCACAGAACUGGACUCAGAGAUAGAUUUACUGGGCAUGGUGGCACACACCUGUCAUCUCAGUGCUUGGGAGGCUGAGGCAGGAAGAUCACUACAAGUUUGAAGCCAGCCUGGGUUACAUGGUGAGUUCAAGAUCUGUCUGAACUAUGCAUGGAGACCCAGUCUCAAAAGACAAAAGAAAAAAAGUUUUUGUAAGUAAGUGGAUGCAACUUGGGAAUGUAAUAUGAAAUAAGUCAGAUACACGAGCUGAGAUAUUACAUGGUUUCCCUUAUAUGAGAAACUGUGUAUAUGCAUAUGCUCACACAAAUAAAGAGCAAAAUGGGAAAUAAGGAGAAAUUCAGAUACUUCCCCAAAUUGUAUAUUCUAUUGUUUUAAAAAUAUUUCAAUAUAUGCUAAUUUAUUUAAUGUAUAUACUAGUUUAUCUUAAUUCCUUGAAAAGAAAGUUUAGUAUUAUUUCUUUCUUGUAACAGUUUUUCUAGUCUGUAUCCUAUGCUUUUUGUAACUACUUUGAAGACACAGUGAUGCACAGUGUAAUAACUAUUAUUAUUCCCUUAUUAUUUGGUUAUGAAAUUUUGUUUCUCAUUUUUUCAUUAAAAAUGUUUCAGGUCCAAGUAUAGCAAGGAGAAAUGGGGAAUUACAGUCAAGGAGCAGAGUGAAAGUAGAAAAUUAUUAAGAGGGUGAGGAUUUGGCCAAACUGACUUGGUGGGCUUCUUGCCCCUGAAAUUUGGCCCUGCCAGUGUGUUCAGUGUCCCCUAGGAGGGGUGGGGACCAGAGAGAGGAUCUCUCUAGGCUACCUUGGCAACAUUCUUUUGGGACAAGGCCCAAGGAUGAGUUCUAGUUGAAAAGGACUCCAAGAUCUUAUCUAGAAUUUUGUCCAAGGAGUAAGUCUUGACUAGUUCUAAAUAAAGCACAGGGGAGCUGGGCAGGGGAUGCACAUCUGUAACCCUAGCACGAGUUCAGGCCCAGGCUGGGCAACGUAGUGACUUAAUGAGAGCCUGUCUCAAUGAGAAGGGCUGGGAAUACAGCUCACUGCUAAGAUCCCAGGUUGGUUUCCCAGCUGUCAAGAAGGAAAAACCACAGGGGAGAGGUUAUCAGACUGUGGUCCCUGCAACUUGUUAGAAAUGUGAGCAGAUUGUCAGCUCUUCCAGCCCUGGGAAUGAGGAGAGUGUACAGUUGAUAUCAAAUGAAGUUACAUGCAUGCUAAAGGUUGAGAACUCACAGAUAGCAAAACUAGAACAUCAAGGUGGUGCUUUUGUACACCAUGUAUACAUUGCAAUAUCAAAUGUAAAAACCAAAUGAUUACACUUUUUGGUAAAGUUCUCAACAAGGUUAGCUGUGCAUGUUGUUUAGAAGACUUUGCCUACCUCAGCAGCGUGACCUCUUUUGAUGUAGAGUUUCCCAGUAGUACAUUUUAUAUAACAUUUGUACAUUUAUAAAGUAUCAGAUAUUAAAAGUGGAAACCAACAUUUCGAUUGUAGAAUUUAGUACAGGCACCUUAGAGACCUGUGAUUGAAUUUUGUUAUUUGAUGCUCGAAGAAACAAGCUGACAGAGGUUACUAAAAUGCUCAGGGCCGCGCUGGUGAAUAGCGCAGUGCACGGACCAAAGAAUCUGGGUCUCCUCCUCCCCUGCCUCCUCCACGGACAGGAAGCUAUUUCUGUCACAGUUGCAUGCUUGAUCUAAAUAUGCUUUAUUUGGUAGCGAGUUCUCUGCAAGCUCCUUCUCUAGGACAGAGCAGAGAACACCUGAAAUGACAGUGAAAAAUGCUCUCUCAAAGACUUCUUUUUUCCCCAUUUUGAAUUAUUUCUUUCAAAAAGUAGAGAGCAUAACAAAACAACGGUCAUCACCAAUCUUAAGAAAUAAAACACAAAAUAUAAUGAAAACCCCAUUCCUGUUUUCCUUCUACACUAACCACAAAAAACAAUACCUAAAUUAUUAUUUUUGUUUCCAUGUCAUUAAUUACAGAUGAGUAAAUCUCUAAAUAGCAUGAUGUAUGGCUUUAAGUCUUAAAUUAUUUACAUGGUAUUCUAUACAUGACUUUCAGCUGCCCAUUCUUUUCAAAGAGAUUUUCAUGUUUGUUAAUAGCAUAGGUCCUAGAGUAUCUUCAAUACUGCUGUUGUAUGUAGUUUUAUUAUAUGCUUUUGUUAUACUCUGGUUUCUCUCCAGGUCAUAUAAAUCAUAUGAUUAUACCAGUGUGUUCAUUCUGCUAGUGAGAGCUUAUUCUAAUUUUACUCCUUUUUUUAAUUUUUAAUUUUUUUUUAUUUUAAAGAGAAUAAAACCAAGCAAAAUAAAGCAGAAUAGAGCCAAUCAAAACAAAACUGUAAGUGAUACAGGAUUUCAAAACAAGAUAAUAGAAAAUCAACAAUGCAGUGCCUCUUGUCCUCUUCAAAAUAGCUAUCCACAUCAUCAGACAUUGGAAAAUGAAACAAAAUAGAACAGAAUGGAGCCAGUAAAACAGAACAGUGAAUCCACAAUACAGGACUUCAAAACAAGUUAAUAGUAAAUCCAAAAUAGCUACCAUAAUAUAUCUUGUUAUUUUUGAAAUAGCUGCCCAUGCCAUCAGAUACAACAAAAUCAAACAACACAAAACAGAGUAAAACCAAACCAAACAAAACAAUGAAAGUGAUCCAGGACUUUAAAACAAGAUAAUAUGGAGCAGUAGCUACCAUCUUCAGAAGGAGAUUCCCCCAUAGAUGCUGUAGUGCAUUUUGUUAUCUUCUAAAUAGAUGAUCAGAUUACUGGCUUUAGGCCUGCAAAGUCAAUGAAACACUAAGACUAGAAGCAUUAAGUUGUAUUUUGCUGCAGUAGGUAUCAUGUUAGCCUGUGUUUCUCCAGAUCAGCCAGUCACUGGGCAGGAGAGGGGACCUUGGCUCUUCUUGUCUCCCAGCCUGUGCACCAAGAAAGGCUGGCCCCUGGUUGUCCUCCUUGUGGGCAGCACAUGGUGCCAACUCACAGUAAGUGGCUGGUUUCUUAUCCUCCCUGUGGCCCAUGAAUAGUACCGACUAACAGGAAGAGGUUGGCAUCUCUCCUAUUUUUACUUUUUCCACUUUUUUUUUAUUGUUACUUUUCAUUGUUUUUGUUUGUUUGUUUGACUUUUGGUACCAGAGAUUGAACUCACAACCUUGUGCUUACCAGACAAGUGCAUGAACCACUGAGCUAAAUCCCUGGCCCUGUAUUUUUUUUUUAAACUUGCCCUGUGUUCCUUGCUUUGUUUCUCUUUCCACAUAAGUUCCUUUACAUAUUUUCUUCUUUCCAUUGUAGAUUCAGUCCUUAGCACAGGAUAAAAGAAUGAGCGGUUGAACUAUUAUUGGAAGAAUAUAUUUAUAUUAAUUAUAUUUGUGUGUAAAUUACCAUUUUAGCCAAUGAAAACUACACCUGGCAAAUUUGCUACCUUGUUGUUUGGCCUUUGUCCUUUGAUUGUGCUGUCAUUUUUUUUUUUUUUUUGUCUUUUCAUUUUUAUCGGUACCAGGGAUUGAACUCACGACUGCCUGCUUGCAAGGCAGGCACUUUAUGCCGCUGAGCUAAACCCCCAGCCCCCUGUUUGUGCUGUCUUUUCAACUCAAAGAUUAAAGCCUGAUAGGAAAUUUACCAAACUAAGUAAGUUAUUAAUUUGUUGUUUUCAGUUUGCUUGUAUUCCUUUUCAUUGGCAUUAUUAUAUGUCUAUUUUAGUUCAUAAAAGUGUGGACUAAUUUGUGCUUUGACUAUUAUCCAGCAAUUCUGUUAGUGCUCAGAAAGUUUUGGUUCCUAAGCCUUGCAGGGAGGCUGUGUGCACUUGCCUAUACUUACUCUCAGUGCUCUGGGACGGUGAGUGAGGCAGCGGAACCCCAAUUUCAAGCUUAGCCUGCCCAGUACAGCAAGGUAGCAUAACCCUGUCCCAAAGUAAAGGGCAUAUGAAUUUAUUUCAUGUGACUAAAUCUGUUCUCAGAACUGUAAGAACAAAGAAACACUGCAAAAUCAUAAAGAACACAUAUUUAUUAGACAAAUCCAUUUAAAAAGGAAAUCAACUGGUGCUAGGUGUGGUGGUACACGCCUUUAAUCUCAGCACUCUGGAGACUGAGGCAAGAGGGUCAUUGUGAGUUCGAGACCAACCUGGGCUACAAAGUGAGCUUAAGGCCAGCCUGAACUGUGUGCAUGAGACCCUGUCCCAAAUGAAUAAAUAAAUCAACCUUAAACAUAAAUGACAGACACUAUUUUUUGUGAGGCGUAUGUUCACAAAUUCAUUGAGUUGUGUAUAUAUAUGAAAUGUAAUUUCCCAUUUUAAAAAUUGAUAUUAAAUGUUUUUUAAAGCUUAGACAACAGAUUAACUUCUAAAGAAAUUUUAGUCUUAAAGACAUUACAGUAAUGGUUAGUUUUUCAGUAAUUUGAGGAACAAAAAAAUACUUCAUUUUUCAAGUAUAUUUUUGCUUGCUAGUCACGCUUCUUUUCAUUAUUCAUUUGUAAUACUUUAUAAAUGAUUUUCUACUGUUGUGCAGGGUUUUUUUUUGUGGUAUUGAUGAGCUAAAUGUUGAAAAUUAUUUUAAAAUUAAGGUCAUGCCCACUAGAUGGAGCUGUUUUUCUUGUUUGAUGUAGUAAUAGGAUAAAUAAAAAUAGAACUCUUUAAAUGGAAGAUCUAGAAUUUGGGCCUAAUAUUUUGAAGGUAGAUGACCUCAGUGGAAGGAAGCAUUCAAAUAUUGUAAAACUAUUCAGUGAUGUAUGUUUAUCUUAAUGACCAAGCCUAACUGCCAGAGUUAAUAUGGCAGAGAACCUUCUUUACUUGCAGUUCAAUUUUUUAGACAGCGUUUUGCUGUGUAGUCCAGGCUGCCCUUGAACUCACUAGGUACCCUCAGGCUGACCUUGAACUCAUGAUGGUCUUCGUGCCUCUGCCUCCCAAGUGCUGGGAUUACAGGCAUGUUGCACCACACCUGGCUUCAGAGAACCUUUUUAAUCUAAAAUAAGUAGGGGCUGGGAAUAUAGCUCAACGUUGUGGCACCUGCCUGGUGAGUGCAAGGUCUUGAGUUCGAUUCCCAGUACCAAAUAAAGAAAUUUUUUAAGGUUGAUGUACGUGCAGAUCCCACUCACGGUAAUAACUGUAUGUGCGAAACUGAAAUUAUUUAUAAAGGAGGCAUUUGUUACCAAAAUUUGUUUCCUGUUUUCUUUGCAUUUUUGAAUAUCACUGCCUUACCAAAGUUACAGUUACUUCCAAAUUAAGGGAAGCAUUUUGAUUAUUUAUGUGUUCUUAUUUCCUAAACAAAGGAGAGAAAAUUAGGUUUGAAUUUCUUAUUUUUCUGAAGAAGUAAGAUGUAAAUUGAUUUAUAUAUUAGGAAAAAAGCAGUAUUUAUGGAGAUAUAGGUUUCAAAUUAAUGCUUUAGCUAGCUAAUGAAAUGCUUUCACUGAAGGUUUAGCUGAGCCAUAAGAAUAUUUCUAGGAUUUUGUUGUAGCAUUUCCCCCUGAUGUUACAGCUCUAUGUCUGUGUCUGGCUGAGAGACUGCAGCAUAAAGGCAUGUAGACACUGUUAAAAAUAUUUGUUAAAGCCAUGGUGUCAACAGGUCAUGUGAAAUUAAGGUUUCUUUUAAAUACUGGCUUUGAAUUUGUCCUCUAGAAGUUAAUGUGUGACUGUGAACUCAGUAUUCAGUUAUUUAUAAUAGAAUAAACAGCUUGUCAAGCUAGUAGUUUUUCUUGUUUUUCUUACUUGAAUGUAAAUAUUAUAGUAACAUAGUCCUUAUACAUACCCUUAAGAUGAAUAACUACUAUAAUGCUUUAUUUGGACAUGUUCAUUGCAUUUUCGUUUUUUAAAACUUAAUAUUUUAGUUUUGCAGUGUGUCAGAGCUCUCCUUGAAGAGUAUAAAACUCUUUAUGUUUUAUUUCUUUGCUACACUUAGCACUACGAGGUACAUAUAGUAGAUGACCUUCACAAAUUUAUUACGUAGGUCAAUAGUUUUGUUAUGUGAGGAGUUUUUAUUAGCAUUACAGUGUAAUAUUAAUUACGUAAAUAACUUUUCUUGGAGAAAUUUCCAUACUAACAAAGAGAAUUCCUGUUCUGUAGUUUUUAGUCACAUAUUCUUGUUGUCUUUUGUAAUCUUAUACUUUUCUGAAAUGACAUUUUAUAAUCGAUUUAAAAGGACAAUCUCACUGGAAUGUCUUGGAAUCAUAAUGAUACAUUCUACCAUAGUGAGGAUAUGUUCUUUUCUUUUCCUUUCUUUUUUCUGAACCAAAAUUUUAGUAGCGUGUAUGGUCACCCUUCCCUAGCAUUCUGGAAGGCAAAGGCAGCAGGAUCACAAAGUUAAGCCCAGUCUGGGCAAUUUAGUGAGACCCCGUCAGAGAGAAGGAGAGAGCAGGGAAGGAGGCAGGGAGGGCGGGGAUGGAGAUCACACUGUGAAGACCAAGUUCACCCCCCAGUGUGGGUUGGGGAUCUUCUAAGGUUGGUUUCAUGAGGAUCGAGGGUAUUAAAGAUUGUCUAGUCCAACAGGUAUCAAGAGUGUGACUCUAAGGGUGGUGUGCUACAUCAGGCUUUCUGUGAGCCAGGUUACCAGUACUUUUUAAAAAAUAGACAUUUAUGCUUUUCAUGCUCAGUACAAAAUAAUACCUCUUGUUAGUAAAUUAUUUUGGUUUGGAAAUAGGUUUUUUUGGAGUCAAUAUCUCACUCACUAAUAACCAAGGCUGGCCUUGAACUCACAGAGCUACACCUGCCUCAAUCUCCUGAGUGCAAGGAUUACAGGCACACAUGGCCUAAAACUUUUUUAUUUUGUUAUUUUAACUAACAUGAGCAAAUUUGGAAUAUUGAUCUGUUUUUUUCAACAAUAAAAUAGUGGAUUUUUGUUAGUUUGUUUUUUUGUAAAUUCACUGUGAUAGCUUUACCAUAAAGUUUAAACUUCUAAGGGGAAAGGGGAAUUGGCAGAUGGUAUAAUGUAGCUUUUCCCACCCCCAGGUUGAAGGUGAAGAUAGCUGCUCGUGUUUUAGAGACUCUUUUACUGUCUUCUUUGUUUUUUUCCCCUCCGUUUCUUUUCUGAACAGUAAAACAGUUACAAGCCUUCCUGGUCAUUUGUGGCAGUCCACCAUAGAAGAAAAAGCCUUCUAAAGUCUCAAGAACUAAAUCAAGAGGAUAAUAAUUUUAUAUUCCUUUUCGUUAGAUAUACCCCAUUUCUCAAGUCGAAGGUUGAGAUGGAGGCAGUGGAUUCUAAACUGCAUCCACCUUUUUUGUUGUUGUUGCUGUUGAAGGAAUUUAAAACCAUGUAGUGAAGAAACUGGACAGUUUAGGCUGAAGAGGAGUAAUCAGGACGUGCAUAAUGGCCGCCUUCAUUCAAAAGGCUUCCUUCAUGAGGAAGUGAGAUUAGAUCUGUUGAUUUAUUCGUGAAACCAGUGGGUAGGAGACGUGGGCUGAAUGAAUUUUCAUUCAACAAGGGAAAACUUUCUAGUGUGGUGAAAAAAUACAAAACUAAAAUCAGUUGGAUUUGGAGGCAGUGAAUUACUUUUUUCAGGAGACAUUAAUGUAUAGAUCAGAUUAUUGACUAUUGGUAGAGAUGCUGGUAAGUGAAUCAGAAUUUAUGGCUAAUUGAGCUAGAUGAUGUUUUAAGUUUUUUUCUAUGAUUAUGUGCUUGGGUAAAGUUGUUGAAAAUAAUUUUUUAAGCUGCAAGUUUGAAAGACUGUUUGGUUUAGGAGCUAUCUUCCAUUUUUAUAUCAGGUGGUCAAUAAACCAGAAGAGUUUAUGGAUCUGCAGUCUUGCUAGGAUCAGUGUUGUAAAUUUUCCAGGAAGUAGUCUGUGUUUUAUUUGUUCAUUUUAUUGCACGUUGUUUGUAGAGGACAGAUUGUUAGCAGAAAUGUGGAAAAGAAAGGGGUGAUAGACAUCAGAAAAGAAAAUAAAAGCCGUUUUGAAGGUGUAUAUUUAAUUGAUGGUCUUUUAAGACUAUAUUUAAUUUUCUAAAUUCUUUGUAAUCAUAAGUAUUUUCUGCUUCCUGUUUAUACUCUUUUUACUUUCUGUUUAUUUUCCAUGUCUUUUAACAAAGUAAACUAGACCAUAUUUAAUAUCUGUGUGACUUCCUCCUCAUUGGUUGCUGAUCUAUAAAUAGGAAGGUUCUUUGGAAUAUAAUUACUGAAACCAUGAGUGCAUUAUCAUAUUGUAUAUUACUUCUUAAUUUAAUAGUAGUUUCCAGGAGCAGGGGAAGGAUUUUACUUUUCUUACCUUCCUUUGUAUACUAGGAACAAGUAAGUGUUCUUACUAUUAAUUUUACACACUGGUAAGUGAAUGUUAAACAUUAACUAGGAAUACUAGACAUAAAUAGAUUACAGCAAAAUAAUUACCCUUCUUUUUGUGAGUAGUCAUGUAUCACUGUAUUUAUGCCUAUAUUUUUCUCUCUUUUAUUGUUUGUGUCCUUAAGACUUCCAAUAAGAAUUUGAGAUCUUACAGCGUCAUAUGUAAACUGUGUGCUUGUCAUGCAAACAUAGAGAUAUUAUUUGUUCACUGGAUGUUUACUGAAAGUCUGGUAUAGCAGUUGUGCAGUUAUAUUACUAAAGGGUUCAAAUGGGAACUGAAUGAGUGAAGGAAACCAAGUGAAAAUAACAAAUAUUGAUAUAUUGUUGCAUUUCUUAAAAAAAAAAAAAAAAAAAAAAAGACCUGCGGUGCUGUAGUCUGCUCCUCUUCUUUAUUUAAUAUAAAUGAGAUUGCUUUGUGUGACAUUUAAAUAUUCAUGUUUAUUUUUCUAUGCACAAAGUCCUGUUUUAGACACUGGACUUAGAGUGACAAUAGUUUUCCUUCACUUAUGAGAUUUAUCAUAAUAUAAUGGAGAAGACAGACUGGUGGUUUAAAAAUUCCAGUAAGUCUGCCUAGUAAAACAACAUAGAACUUGGAGCCUGAUAAUGUGAGUUCUUAUUUUGCCUCUAUCUAUUUAUUCAUGCAUUUAAUAGUUCUUGAGUAUUUAUUGUCUGUCUUAGAGAUAUACCAGAAGUUCACAGAUGCCCUGAAAAGUUCCAGUCUCUCUGGUAUUGUAAAUAAGUCACAGCCAGCCGACAUGGAGUAAGGCUUGCAGAAACUGUGUCCAGUACUCUAAGAGCAGUGACCUUCCUCAACCUGUGAGCUGCGUGAAAGAGCUCGUGUUAGAGGUGGGUCUUGAAGGAUGAAUAUAGUUGGUAUACUUUCUCCUGUCCCCAGAUAGAGGGAUUCUUAGGAACACAUGGAAGCAUUAAUAGGAUGUUUUGGAGAACAGCAGGUUAUUUUUCUUCUCCCUCUUUUUGUUUUUUUUCAGACAGGGUGUUGCUAUGUAGUUUAGGCUGACCUUGAACUCAUCAUGUAACCCAGCCUAGCCUCAAAUUUGUGGAUCCUCCUGCCUCCACUUUCCAAGUGCUGGGAUUACAGCCCUGAGAGAACAUUGAGGCACUGCAUCAUUGGUUAAAACAUUGAGUAUUUAAUGAAGAUAGAAGAAAAAAGCUACAUAUGUGGGAUAUGGGCAUAAUUGUGAGGAAUUUUAUCUGUCUGCUGAAAUUGUUGUAUUUUUUUAUGGACGAUAAUUGUUACUUGUGGAAAGUUUUUAAGCAGGCAUACUUGGUCUGCAUUUUUACAAAGGUAAUCAGUAAAAUAUAGGAUCAAGUGGAAAGCUGAGACGAGACAAGAAUACUGGUUUAAUGUAUUUUCAUAAUAAAUGCAAAUGAAAUAAUGAGGGUCCAGAGUAGUAAUAGUGACGUUAGACCAGAGAGAAAAAAUACAACUCAGAGUUAAAAUUGAUAAGAUUUAGUGGCUGACAAGGACAGGACAUGGAGGAGGUUUUGAGGUUUUGUCUUUAUAUCUGUGUAAGUAAUUUCUGGUAUCUAACUUCUAGAGAAAGAGCAGCAUGAUUUGAGUGAAGUAGUACUUUUGCUUUUGUAAUAUUUAGUUUUCUGAGUAAAACUAUGUUAGAAGCCUUAAGUUAUGAUCAGAGGAAACACUUAGAAAGGAGAGUCAGUGGAGAGAUAGCCUGGGUAUGCAUUAUACCUUUUAAAUCUUCAGUUUGCUAUGCAUAAAAAUAUGGAGGAGAGGUCAAUCAUUUUUCUAAUUUGGAAAUAACCAGGGUUAUAGUUAUCACAUAUUCUAAAUUAGUGGUACAAAAAUGAUAGUAAUUAGAAGUUACAUUUUAUAGGCUAGUAACUAUUUAUUGAAUGCUUCCUUUGUGAAGCUUAGGUAAGAUGUUAAGCAUCUUGCAUUCAUUAUUUCAUUUAAUUCUCAUGUCAGCAUGAGUCAAGUAAUAUUAUUAUCUGGAUUUUCAGAAGAGAGAGGGUAUAUUAGCCAAAAGAACAAAUAAGUGGACCUUCAAACCCAGGUCAGUUUGACUUGAAAACCCACGCUCUUAACCACUGUGCUAUUUGACUGUCUCCUAGAGUAUAAAACUGUAAUGGACCUAAAUACCUACUCUAGCCUGGCCCUGUAAUCAAAUAUAUGUCAUUGUCAAAAUCUGUAAUUAGCAUUAAGAUUCGGUAUCCAAUUUACUUAAUAAAAAGCUUAUCCAGAAACCAUUCAUUACAACUGUUAUCUUUGUGGCAGAUCCUUGUUUUGGGGCGGUGGAGGUGAACUUAACACUACUCUCUCCUGACUUUACAACUUUGCUAAAUACUGAUAUGUCUAGACCAGUCAUGAUUACUCUAUGUUUCUUAACAGUCAUCAGUUCAAACAUGGGACUGUGACUCUUAAUUUGGCCAAUAAUUUGUAUGUGACAAAUGAGACAUGAAUGAUUUUAUGAAGGACUCUUCAAAUGAUUUCCCCCUCCUAUUUCUAGACAUUCCUAUCUAGAAGGUGCUUAGAAUUGUAGGAGCUCUCUUGUAACCUUUCUGGGGCUGGGAGAGAGUUCAAGAUAAAGCCAGAACACUGUACGCCAGCAUGAAAACAAAAAGAAGGUAAGAACUUGAAUCCUUAAUGAUCUUGUUGAACUGCUAAAGUACGCAGCCAUAAAGAUACUGUGCUGCAGUACUAGGUCUUAUGUAAAAUUAGAAGACAUCCAUUAGGCUGUGUGAAACAAGGGAAUGUAUUAGGUUGUUGUGAGGCCCACACACCCAUAUUUACUACUUAAAGAAACUUAAUAAAGUCUAAAGUGUUUGUCCUUGCUCUAAAGUAUAAUAAUAAACUGUCAUAGGGCUUGUAUUGCUGUGUAGAUAUGGUUAAAACUGGAAGAGAAGACAAUUUUAGGGGCAGUGUGCUGAUCUCACAGUGGUAGAAGUUGGAGAUGAUCUGCUAUGGAAUACUGAGGUAUUUUGUAAUAGGGUACCGAGGCGGCAUGUGCUCACCAGCCAGCUACCCCAUCACUGAUGUUAGAUGUUAACAGUGGCAAAGUGUUUUGAGGAGAUGAGUCUGAUUUCUGACAGUUUCUGUGGGUUGAGGGAAUAGAAGGUAGGUCUUCUAAUUAAUGUAGGAAAUAGAGAUAAAUUUACUUCAUAGUUGGGGAACCUAAUUUUCAGAGUCCCUUAACAGUCCCUUCCAGGGCUCAGGGAACAUCACAAGCGGUAUGAUCAUGUAAUUAUAAUUUUGAGGGGUAAGAUUUUUCAAAAGUUACAUAUUUGAAUCGGUUAAAAUUGCUAUCUCUUACACUUUUAUUUUCCCUUUACCGAACACCAACAUUGGGUGGCAUUGGAAUGGCUGGAAGCAGCUUCGGGAACUGGCUAAGGGAAGACGGAAAUACAUUUCGAUGUGGUGUCUGUUUGCAGUUGCUUGUGUAUGUAGUUGUGAAUAGCCAUCCUCCAACAGGGACCAAAGUAUUCUUUCUGUCUCGUGUGCCUAAUUUCCUUCCUAUGAGGUACACAGAUGCAGGGCCAGAGAUCUUAGAACAAUAUGAACAUAUUGUUUGUGUUUGGUACCAGAGUAUGUAGGUUAAGGAAGAGAAACAUAUCUAAAGUGUGUGGAGCUACAUCCCUAGCACUGUUUUAUUUUACUUUGAGAUGAGGUCUCAAAACUUGCUGGCCUUGUCUCAAGCUUGCUGUCCUCCUGCCUCAGCCUCCUGAGCCUCUGGAAUUACACAUGUGUGACACCAACCCUGCCCUAGAAAAUUUUUCUAGAUCUUAGAGCUUAGAUAUGAUCGAUUGAUUUUGGGGACUGAACCAGAGCUACAUCUCCAGCCCUUGUUAUUCGUCUCAUUUUGAGACAGUUUAGCUAAAGUCACUGAGUUGCCCUGGCUGGGCUCAAACUUGUAAUUCACUACUUCAGCCUCCAAAAGUGCAGGGAUUAUAGGCACAUGUUUUCCUAAAUUUGGUAACAUUCCUACAAAUGUACAUGGUGUUCUCAGUAAUAAGUUGUAAAGCUGAUAUAAACUUAUUCAUGCUGCUUGUAACAAAAAAUGAUCAAACACUAGCAAAAAGACCAAGCUCUCAUUUUGCUCUUUUAAUAUUGUUAUUGGAGUCAUGGGUGAACUCUCAGGCAUAAGGGCUCCUAAAGACUAGGUUUGGGACACCGGGGAUGGUGGCGUAUGCCUAUAAUACCAACAUUUGGGAGGCUGAGGCAGGAGGAUCGCUUUGAGUUCGAGGCCUGCCUGGGCUACAAAGUAAGUUCAGACCCUGUCUUAAAAAACCAAAACCAAACAAAUAAACCAAAAAACCCCUAGGCUUGUCCCCAAACACCAAAGCAACUAGGAGCAAGAGAGGAGCUUUAAUUAGUGUGGCUAAACUGGCAAAGACAGGUGAAGAGGCCCAAGAUCUGUCUGCAAGGGACAGACAGGAAUUGAGGGGUUUUUAUAGAAAAGAAGAACAGAGGCAAAGCUGGAGUGUGGGUAGCGGUGGCGUGGGUCAGCCUUGGUCUGGUGAAUCGCUAUUGCAGGCCUGGUCUGUGAGGCGGCUCUGGAGUCCUGUGGUGUGGUGGGACAAGCUGGCUCCCUGGAGACCUUUGCUUCUGCUUGUGUGUAUGGAGGGGCGCAGGGCACAGGGCGCAGGGUCAGGACAGUGAGUGGAGACUUGUGCAACAGACAUCCUAUAAAACCUGGCAGCCAGAGUUCCUGCAAUUCUUAAAAAGAACCAUAUUUACUCUUAUCUUCCUGUCUUGAUCCUGACUAGGGGAAGAGACAGGUAAAUUUAGAGCUGAUAAACAUUUUUAUCAGUUUUUAGAUAAACAUUCUUGAAUGAUUUACAUGUACAGCUGAGCAGCGAUAUGAUGCAAGGUUUUAAGGUAGUAAAGGAGGCUGAUAACACAAAUGAAGGCAGACAUGCCAGGCUUUCUGUAGCCCCCGGUUAUGCCCUGGGCAGCCACAGGCCCUGUUCUUACAGGCCCUGUCUUUCAGUCCCUGUUAGAAGGUUACCAAGCUGCAGGAAGAGGCUGUCAGAAGUAUGCAGCUAGAAAUGGAGGAAAAUCAUAUAACAGAGCCUGAGCAGUUAGAUCUUACAAAAAUAUGCUAUUCUUUUUGGAAUUUGUGGUGUUUGUGGCAUUUGUCAUGUUUUUAAGUCUGUGAUUUGUUGUAGAGUUUCCUCAUUCUACAUGAAAAUCUGUUUUAUAUCCAGUUUUCUUUUCCUUAAAGAGAACCUCUAAAGUUGUAAAAUAUUUCAGCCCACAGUACCUCACAGGAAGUAAAAGCUAAGAUUUGUACCAGUGUUGAAAUAGGUAAAUCAGAAGAUGUGGCCAGGCACAUAGACACACUUCUGUAAUCCAAAUUACUCAGAAGGCUGAGGCAGGAGGGUCUCAAAUUCAAGGCCUGCCUAGGCAACUUAGUGACAUUUUGUCUCAGAAAAGAAAAAAGUGAAAAACCCAGGGCUUAGGGAUGUAGCUUAGUGUUAAAGAGCUGCUGGAUUCAACCCUCCAGUUCUGCAAAACCAAGCCAAACCAUCAUUUAAAGGUAGUACCCUUGUUUAUUUUGUGAUAUAAGGAUUUAGAGGUAAAUUUUUGAAAAAAGCAAAGGGUUCAGUGGUUUUAAUAAAUACUGUGGGUCUGAGUAGUAGUGUCGUCCGUUAGCACUUUGUCCAACAAUUCUCGUACGUGUAGCUAACUGGCUACUGUGAUAACUUAUUUCCCUUACUAGUUUUCUUCAGAAAUUGGAAUGGGGGUACUAAGGAGAAGAAAGCUAUCCUAUGUUCCAUCUAGUGAAGAACAUUUCAUGCCAGGGUUCCUGGUACAGAGCAACUGAGAUUGCUAGAAUUUCCCACAUUUUAGCCAUUACAGUACCUUUGUAACUGAUGAAUGUAAUGGAUUAUUGUGCUGUCGCUACCAAUGUUGCUAAUGGGAUGACUUACUGAUGUAGGGGAAAUGCUAGAUGUCAAACAUGCAGAGUUCAUGUUUUCCAAAGUCAAAGAAUGAAUUCUAAGGAUCAGUGGAGGUUGAGUAGGAAAAUUUAUUGGAGAAAAGGAGUGGGGAAUAGGAGAGCUCCUAAGCAAAAGGAAGGGUCCCAAAUAAGUGACCAGUGAGGCCACCUUUCAAAAGACGCUUCCUAGAGCAAAAUCUUGAGAUGGGUACAACAUGUAUCAAAUUACAAUCAACCCAUAAGAUUGCAGGUAUAGCCUUUUGGGUAAUAUUGAUCUAAUGGUACAAGGGUACAUGGUUGACACUGUUAACUUUGGUCAGUCAUCUGUCACAGGCUUAGUCUUGUCUUUAGUCUUAGUAGUGUUAGUCCUAGUUUCGGUGGUCUUAGUCUCAGAAGUUGGGAGAAGAUGGGCCACCAUUAAUGAGAUAAUGGGGAAUCUCAAAAAGGGUGGUACCACUAAGCCCAAGCCUCCAUCAUCCUCUAGGGAAGUAGGUGACUUUCAUCUUCAGAUGCAUGUCCAACCGCAGUCCUGACGCCUUCUCAUCUCCUGCACUGACUCCCUCAGACACUCCAGCCCUAUCUGACCAUCUGCUCUAUUUCUAUCUAGCUUAGCUGUCUAUAAUAUUAGCUGGGCCCCUGGCUGGCUUUGGAAUGAGGGUUGGGGAUGCAGGAUACCAAGGCUUUUUCCGAGGUGUAGGUUUGGGUCAGCCUCUGUGGAGAGGGGGACGGAGAUUGAAAUUAGUCAUUUAAUCAGUCACAUGAGCACUGACUUCAUCAGUCAUGCCUGGGAAUGAAACCCCAAUAAAAGCUCCGGUCACUAAAGGCUGGUGGGGCUUCUUGGUUUACAAAUACAGUAGUCACCUGUUUCCCCAACAGAGAAUCCAUUCCAAGGUCUCCAGCAAAUAGUACCACACUCUAUAUAUGCUACUGAGGUUUUCAUCUGCUGUGUUUAAUCUAUAAAGUAAGCAUAGUAUCAAUAAUGAUAAUUAAAAUAAAACAACUGUAACAGUGGACUGAAACAAAUGUUAUGUGAACAUUCUCUUUCUUUGCCUCUCUCAGUCUGAUUGUUCCCUUCUUACCCUGCUUGUAAUGACCUGAGGUGACACAGUGCCACAAGCUGAAGUGAAGCAGGCACAGGUGUUGUGACAGAGCCUUGGCCUGCUACCUAAGGAUUACUUGACCACAAGCACCAUGAUACUGCCCGGAGCUGAGAUGGCUCUUUAGUGACUCGCUGGUGGUGAGUCAUAGCUGCUGAACAGUUAGACUGUUGCUCCAUAGCUGCAUGAUGACAACAUCCAGCACCCACUCCCACUGAACAGCUCUUGAGAAAAUAGGUGUGGUUGAAUAUUGCCUUAACAAGAUCGAAUACAUUUGCCUUAUCUCAGCAUCUUACUUAAGGGAAACACUGUAGGUUCUUACUAAAGCCAAGAAUAAGUCAAAGAUGCGUGCUUAUCGCUGUUACUAUUUGUCUUAGUGAAAGAGGGUGUGAUGGCGCAUGCCUGUAAUCCCAGCACUGGGAAGCUGGACCAGGAGGACUGCAAGUUCAACGCCACCAGGGACUGCUGAGUUGAGAAACAGCAGAAAGCAAACAAAUCAGUAAACCCAUCAUGCUGGAGGGUACAGGCAGUUCACUUUGAUGAGCCAAAGCAGGUAGAAGUCCUUGAAAAGCAGAGGUAAAGUUGCAUGUGAUACGAUUGUGUACCAGAAAAAUUUUAGAGGCUUAAAGAUAAAGCUAACAGUACAAGAAUUCAGCAAAGUAUCAGGACACAGUAUUAGUGUGCGAAAAAAGUAUUUGUAAAAUAUCGUUGAAAGACUUUUCACGAGAGAAGAUAAAAUACUUAAGUAUAAACUUAAGUGUUGAAAACCUAUAUUCAGAAACCUAUAAAACCCUUAGAUUUGAACACAUGGGUAGACAUGGUUAGUUAUCAGGGACCCCUGCAGUGGACCCCAGUCUCCUGCGAGGUGUUAUAGUGCACAGUGAAAAGAAAGAGCAAGAGACAAAAUGGUGAUGCGUGGGGAUCUGGGACGGAUAAUUGUUCUCAGGAACAAAGGGGCCAAGAGGUAGCUGGUCAUAUUUACACUGGGGGAAAUGGUGAGAGGAUUAUCAGGUGACUCGGAGGGCAUCGGUGAUCUUGAGCUAAUGAGCAUCUUAAUAUCGGUGAGGAUGGCAGGAGAGAUGGCAGGGUAAUACGUUUGUCUGUUCUGCCAGGUGAAACCUUUUAUUAUUAUUAUUAUUGGAACCGAUACCUUCAGCUGAUGUAAUCUGGCCCUGGAGUGGCACAGCGUCAGAGGAGGCCCAAACUGCUAUGAGCGGAGGCUGUCUGAGUUACAUUUCUGUGUUUCUGCGUACCGUAGCUGGCUCGCAUGCGAGACACUGGGCCUCGGACAGGCCCUCAUCACAAGUUAAUUAUGAAGUGUUUUCCCCCAAAGUAGAAUAGAAUGGCUGACAGUUCCAAUAGCUGAUCAAAAUAUGUUUGAAAAUCAAGUAUUUAGUGAGUGUUCUUUAACAAUAGGAACAUUUUAUUAUAUUUUAAGCAUAACAGCAAUUCCAAUGAACUCUGUUUUAGCAGCCUCUUUGUGGUUUGGUACUGAGGUUGAACUCAGGGGCAUGUUAGCAUUAAGCUACACCUGCAGCUCCCUUUCUUCUCUCUGCUCUGUCCUGCUCUUCUCUGUCCCCCACACCGCUCUGUCUGGCACACACUGUCUCUCCCUGUCUCUUUCUCUCUCUUUUUUGAGACAAGGUCUUGAUAUGUAGUUCUGGCUAGCUUUGAACUUGCUAUGCCACCCAAGCUAACCUUGAACUCUUAGUGAUCUUCCUGCCUCAGCCUUCCAAGUGCUGGGAUUAUGUACGUGGGCUACCAUGCCUGAUUUUUUUCUUUUAAUUUUGAGUUAGUCUGCAUUACUAAGGCUGGAUUUGAAUUUGGCUUGCUUCAAAUUUGGUGAUCUUAUUGCUUUAGCCUUCCCAAUGCUGGAAUUAUAGGCGUGCGCCCCCAUGCUUGGCAUAACUUCCUAAUUUUUAAGAAUAAUUCUAGUCUUAUUUGUCAGUUAUUUGCUGUUCUAUUACAUACAGUUAUUAUAUGUCUUCUAGUCCAAUUCAUAUUCAUUAGCAAUGUGUUUUAUAGUUAAAUAAGUAUUUUAAGCCAGUUAUAUGGGAGGUUAAGUUUUCUACAACAUAAAAGUCUUUAAUUUUUUUUUUGGACCAGGGAUCAAACUCAUAACCUCCCCCUUCCAAGCAGGCGCCUGUGCUGCUGAGCUAAAUCCCCAACCCCAAUAAAUGUCUUAUAUUAAGUGAUUUUCCCACAUUUAUCUGACACAAACUGAGUUACUAUGAAGUUGGGUCAUGAAAUUUAUGUUGCUAAUACUGAGUAAUAAGUAUUGAUUCUUGAUAUUUUGUAACAGAACUGUUUUUUAAUAAUAAUGUAUUACUGCCAAAAGAUGUCACUUUGCAUUUAUCAGCUAUUUUAUUAAAAAAUGCAAAUUUAAAACACUUUAUAUAUUCUUUAUCUGCAUAUGCUAAAAUUAAAAAAUGUUCAGGAGUUAUGUGCAUCAUUUUGUUUUGCUACAGGUUAGGUAGCUAAGUGACUAAGAAUGACUGAAUUAUGCUCAUCACUUUGUCUUUUUGGAAAAUAUUUCAGUAACGGAGAGCAUGAUAUUUUUUCAGGUAUCUUUUACUUUUGCUUCUUGUAAUGUUUCACUUACAAAAUGUCAUUGCAGGCAGUACUUGGGUUUUUUAAGAUUUGUUUUUAGCAUGUUAUUUUUCGUAGGAUUUAAAAAAUAUUUACAGAUCCAGGAAUUGAACCUGAUAUGUCUUUCUUACAUCCAUUUUUCUUCUAUUUUAACAUGCGUUUUCUUUUGGUUAGACUUUUAUAUUAGAAUUAUUUUGAAGUAGAAGAAUAUUGUAUAACAUACUUCGAGAAAAGUAACUCAAACAUAGUUGACAUUUAGUUGCAUGGGAAUACUAGGGAUUGAACACAGGGUUUGCAUUGAGCUGUGUCCUCAGCCCCUUUAAACAUUUAUUUAACUUUGAGAUAGAGCUAAAUUUGUCAGGCUGGCCUCUAGCUUGAGAUCUUCCUGCCUCAGUCUGCUGAGCAGGGUCACAGGCAUGCACCUCUGUGCUCAGCUGCUUGACACUGUUAUAGCAAAUGGGUAAGUCAUUAUUUUAAAUAUUUUCAUAGCUGUAGUAAAUUAAUGUAAAAUUGAGUAUUAACCUUCUUUUUGUGAAAAGUGGACAUUAAAAAAAUUCAGUGAAGCUGGGCUGAUUGUACCCUCCUCUCAUUCUAGCACUCUGGGCAGCUGUGGCAGAAAGAUUGCAAACUUGAGCCCAGUCUGGGGAAUGUAAUGACUUAGUGAGACCAUGUUUCAAAUAAAAGGGAAGGGAUUGGGGAAUGUAGUUCAAGAUAAAGGCCAAGUGUUCCAAUCCUCAGUACUGCCAAAAAGAGAAGUGGGGGUGGUGAGUACAUUGGCCAUCCCUAUGGUCCCAGCCACUCAGAAGGCUGAGGCAGGAGGAUUAUGUAAGCCCAAGGGUUUGAAACUAGUUUGAACUACAUCAUUAGAAAAAUAAUUAAAUUAGCAAAAUACUGAUUAUUUUUUAUCUUAUGUGUAUAUUGAUGAUAACAUCUGCACUGAUAUUUACUUACUCCCCAGCCUAGUACAGAGUUCUCAUAGCUCCUGGCAUUCAAUAAAUCUGAACUGAAUAAAUAAAAGCCCAGGGAAUGAAUGGAAGCGAAAUAAGCUGAACAUUGUCACAUAACUUUAAGUGAAUUUACUAGAAUUACCGCCAACAAAUUGACUCCAGUAUUUAGCCUUGAAAGGAACUCAAGGAAAAAACUACUUUUUUGCUGUUCUGUCUCCAAGCCCAGUUGCUUUGUCUGUCCACACUGCUUUCCUCUGGGAGCAUUCAUUCAUUCGACAUUCUGGGACAGUAGGCAUUUUCCUAGGUGUGUACUUACUAGCCACUGAAGGUGCCAGGCUCGAGAUUCAAAGAUAAAUAAUAGCACCUGUUUCCACGGAGCUUGUAAUCUGGUGGCUGCUCGUGAGCAGCUGGGGAGGAGCUGUGCAGUCACCGUUGCGCCAGCGUUGAACUCUGGGUGUUGCAGCCCUCAGAGUCGGGAGUCCCCACACCACGGAGAUGACUUCAGCCUCCUUGAGGGGCAGCGAGAUUGCAUCUAAUGAGAUGGCAGAGCGAGGAUUCUGCUGCGGAUUGGACGGGAAAAGGUGGGAAGACCUGAGGGCCACACAUUUAUUAGUUUUGUCCCAGUGGAGCAUUUUGUAGAUUGUCAUUGAAUUUCCUGGGAUGACAGGAAAGCAAUCAGGCAUCAUUACAUGGAGGGCCAUGCUGAGAAGAUUAGAGGAUUUUAAGUGGGUGAUGUGUUCAGAUUUUCAGUUUCGAAAGGGUACUUAACGUCACUGUUACGCGCUUAGAUUUCAUAAGAACUGAUUGUCAUGCUCUGGUUGUUACUUAAUACAAAAAGAAUUUGCGAUGCUGUCUGUGUCUGAGAUCUUCACGAGCAUUAUGUAACCUGUGUUCGUGGGUUACAUAAGCCUGUGUUUAUUGAGGUAGAUGUGAACAUAUUUUUUUGUUGAAACUUUAAAGAUUUAAACUUUUUCAAAGGCGUAACUUCAAAGUACAUUUUUCAUGUCAGUGUACUUCCUUAUAAGAAGUAAAAUGUGUUUUUCUGAGACACAGCCUUUAAUUCCCAGGGCAGGACUGUCCUGCACACUCUUUUCAUCUGCCACGAUGACAGCAGAAUUGGAGCGGGUGAUGGCUCUGUCGUGUUGGGUCCUCAGAUGACCCAUGAAGUAGAGGAGAAAAAGACCUUAUUAUUUCAGCUCCUGAUAGUUUGACAUUCUUUCCUGAUAAAUGUCACCUGAAUCCUACCAAACCUGUCUUCACUGAUACAACCUCUAUAUUGAAAAUGUUAUAGCUUGUAAAACAAUUAUUUUAGAAGAAAUCAUUGUAGAAGUACAAAGAUAAUAGAAAAAAUUUACCUGUCCAAAUGGAGAAAAUUGAAAUUACUACAACUCAGGUGUACAGUAAUGCAAGAGCUGUUCAUAAUAUGCAUAAAGUAUAAAAUGAGUUAUGCAGCUACGAAAGUCAUUUUGAGAGAUGCAAAAGCUGCCUUAUCUUUAAUUUACCAUGUAUACAAAAAAUGUGAUAUUAAGUCCAUUACAAAACUAGGUAAAAAUUGAAGACAUCUGUAAGUCAUAUAAGGAAUCUAAGCAGUUCCUUUGUAUUUUGGUAUUCACAGUUCCAAAACAGUUUAGUGUAUAUUUUAAAGUGAGGAAGGUAGAGAAAUUAGUAUUAAUUUGAAAAAUAUGAGUUGUUAAAGCACUUUAUGACAUGUUGAUGUCAACUCUGCAUAGCAUUUUUGAAAUGUAAUUUAGAGCAACCACCUAUAUAGGUACCUAAAUCUUUGUACAAGACAUUUGUGUGGUAGUUUGGUUGUUAUCAUAGCUAAUUGUGAAUAAUGAGUAAAAACUAUACAAAUAUGCAAACCACUAUCUGCUUAAGACUAUUAUCAUUUGGUGAUAGUAAAUUAGAUUUCCACACUAAAUGAUUCCUGUUAGGCAAUAAAAUUAAAACUAUAAAAAAUGCAGUGUAACUUCUACUGUAAAUAAACUAUUAGCAAUGAGCAUUACUGUGAGAACUGGUAGUAUAUGAAUUAUUCACUGCAAACUUAUUAUCUCUGUGUCAUUAGCAUGUAAGAUAAUGAAUCUAAUUAUCAUGGCUUUGAACUCCCGGGAGUUAGCAAAUUAUGUGAAGAACUUUCUGGGCUGUGGUUCCGGUUCCUACCCACUUGAGUAUUGAGAGAGCUGGAAACUCUGUCCCUCUGUGUUCUUUCUCCUCCCUUGCUUCCUUGUUGAUAUUAUAUUUAGGGUUAGAGUUUUGGGAUUUUCUCUUGCUUGAGCACCUUUUUAAAAGAGUGGUGAGAAAUUCUAUUUAUGUAUUUUAAUAUGUGUUGCUUUACUGUAAUUUAGCAUUGUAGAUAGACAAGAUAUUGUUGAUAUGAAUUCUUCAUUCAUGCAUAUAAGUUAGCAUCACUUAUUGGAGUAGAUUGCCAUAAAUAGUGCAAUUACUUGAAAAAUUUAGGUUAAAAGGUUAAUAAUUUUCUCCUCUAAAAGGAUUUGGACUAAAAUGAUUUACUUUCAGAGAAUUUGGGAUUAGCAUAUAACACCCUUUCUUAUCUUUAAUAUUGUGUCUUUGAUCUUCAUUUGAGGUUUUGAUGAACUUCUUGUUUCUAGUUUCUCUCUUACAUUAUAGUAUCAAUUAUCUGUAAUAAGUCAUCCUAAUUAAAGUUGAUAAAUCUACAACUGCUUCAAUUAUACACUAAUCAAUUAUACACUAAUUUAAUUCUACUUAGCAGGAUACAGUACAUCAUUAAUCGGUUUCAGACUUAAUAUAACAGAAUUAGGAGUAAUCAAAAUUUGGAGCACAUUAUUAGUUGGGGAAAAUGAAGGAUCAUAAUGUCUAGUAAUUCACAAUAUAAACUUGGAGGUUCACUGCUAAAAAAUGAUGGAGCGUAGCUGCUGUUUAUGUUUAUUGUUUGGUACCAUGGGCUAACAUGGGAAUGAUAUAUAGAAUCUUUAGAUAUUAAUCUUAUAAUACAAUUUUAUCCUACCUUCUCAAAUUUUUAUCAUUAUUUUCUCAUGGUACUAAAUGUAUUUUUUCCAUCACAUCAUUGUUCAAUAUAUGUAAUGCCUUAAAGCUAUACCUUAAGGGUUUUUUUUCAUGACCAUAGUGUUUUUUUAAGUAUGUAAUUUACAGUGGUUUCAUAAAAAGUUUUAAAAGCAAAGUUACAAGCAUCCUUAAAAUUUAUUUCUUUUAAGCCUUCCUGUCAUAAUGUGCAGAGAAUAUUAGUAGUUUGUUUUAAAUACAUAAGUAUAUGCACAAAUGUAUUUUAUGUUAUUAUGUUAGGAAAUAAGAUGAUUAGAUGUAAUUAGAAAAUCUCUAGUAAAGUGAUCUUUGUUAUGAUUUUUUUCUUUUUGAGGUGGUGACUUAUAUUUGCCACAGAAUUCUUCAGAAUGGGUUACAACAUAAUGCAAUUUUUUCUCAAUUAUCUACUCAUUAAUUUUAUUUUUUGUUUUUCGCUCUUUUUUGAGGCAGGGUUUCACUAUAUGAUUUAGGCUUGCCUUGAACUCAUUUUUUUAGCCUAGACUGGCCUUGAAAUCACAGUGAUCCUCCUGCCUCAGCCUUCCUAGUGCUGGGAUUACAGGCAUGUGCCACCACGCCUGGCUUAAUUAUCUACUCAUUAAAUAAACUGAUUCAGAUUGAAUUUCAUCACUUACUCUUUUAUACACACUCACAUGUUAGGAAUACUUCUUGCCUUGCCCAGCUGUAUUCCCAGUCAACUAGUAUUCCUUUGUUCACCUGUUUUUCUUUCUAAGAAUGUUCUCGAUAGAGCAUUUCGAAGGCCAUGUUAAGUGCAUUUUACCCUUUUGAAAAACUUAUUUUUAAAAUCAAGUUUCAAGGAACUCCAUGAGUUUUUAAUGGGUUGGAUCUCAAGGUAACUUUGUAAAAACUCACGUGAUUAGUUAAAAGUCAAAUAGGACAAAUGGUCUUUGUUUGGAGAAAGGAUCUCCCUAUGUAUUUCAAGCUGGCUUUGAAUUCUGUAGUGAUCCUCCUGCCUCAGGCUCCUCCAGUUCUGGGAGGAUAGGCAUGCAUUACCACAUCUGGUUUAGGAUAGAUGGUCUUUGGAUGAAGAGCAAAAGAAAACCUGCCCCACACUGCUCAUUACAGUACACUAUAUACCAUCUAUAGUGUAUAGAUUAUUUAAAUUUCUGCUUUUUCUCAUGUUUUGCUUCAUUUUGUUUGAGACAGAGUCUCACUAGACAGACUCUUACUAUGUAGUACAGGCUGGUCUUCAACUCACUCUAUAUAUGUAGCCCAGUGAUUCCGCCUACCUCAGCUUCCUGAGUGCUAGGAUUAUAGGCAUGCACCACCCUGCCCAACCUCCCUUCUCAUAUUUAAUGACUGUUUUAGUUCCUAAAUUGGUUACAGUGUAAUUUUAUUUAUUUUUGUUUUUUUCAAGACAGGGUCUUGCUAUGUAGUUCAGAUUGGCCUUGAACUCACUAUGUAGUACAGACUGGAUUUGAAAGUAUAGUAAUUCUCCUGUCUCAGCCUCCUGAGUGCUGGGAUUAAAGGUCUGUUCCACCCCAUUUGGCCCUUGCUGUAUAUAAGGUUUUUUUUUUUGUUGUUGUUGUUGUUUUUUAAGAGAAGGUCUCUCUAUGAAGUUCAGACAGGCCUUAAACUCACUGUGUACCCUAGACUGGCUUCAAACUGGCAGCAGUCUUCCUGCCUCAGAACCCCUUGUGCGGGGACCACAGGCAUGCUCCCACCCUUACUGUAUAAUUUUAAGUAACAAAGGAAAUCUUACAUUUCAUGCCGAGUGUCUUUUGAUUUCUAUUAGUUGAUAUAUCACCAAAGUUGGUAACAUUUAGAACAUUUAUGUACUAAAUGCACACUGUAAAAGACUCAUUAAUGCCAGAGGCUUCAAACAAGUAAGUCUCUUACCCUUUCCUUGGCUCUCCAGAACAAUACAAUACUAUUUGUUGUUCCAGUACUAUUUGUUGAUAUUAUCUUACUUCUAAACUUUAUGCUCACUGAGAUUUUCUUCAAAUCAAUUUAGAAUGUAUCCAGGAAUCUUUUAAUGGGGGCAGAGAACUCAGAUUAUAUGACAGAUCUACCCCCUUGCUUCUUGAAAAGUUACAUGAUUUUGGUCAACUCUGGAAGGCAUCUGUAAUCAUGCUUACAUUGUACUAACUGUAACUACUGACAGGUAACUAGGGUGUGACAUUCACUUGCCUCAGCCAUGUCGGGUCCCUGCUCCACCCUUGUGUUACUAUUGCUGUGUUUAUUUUUUGCUUAGUUUCCUGUGGGUCAGUUUUCUCAUUUCUCCCUUUCAGUGUUUUAACGAGUUUCUCCGACACCUCUCAUUAAUUCCUUUGCAACUGUUGCUCAAUCAUAUUUUCUCCUUCUCUGUUCCGCACUAAUAGGAGUUUACUUGUUUACUUUUCCAGGGUUGGUCCUGGGAAUUCUCUUUGUGGUUCUUUUGUUGGAUAAUUGGUUCCUUGCUUGAUUUUUCCUCUUAACUUAUUAUCUCCACAAUUUCUGACGCAAAUACUCCAUAGCUUCUGAAAAAGAGAAGUGAAAAAACAAAUUUUUGAGCUUGCAUAUCUAAAGCAUCUUUAUUUUAUAAUGUUAGAGUGAUAUUUCACUAUGGAAUUGUAGGUUGACAACUUUGUUCUCGACAAUUUUUUUUUUUUUUUUUUUUUUUUUUGGCUUUUUCAGACAGGAUUUCACUAUGCAAUUCAGGCUGGCCUUAAUCUCAUUUGGUAGCUCACACUGGCCUUGAAUUUGCAGUGAUCCUCCUGCCUCAGCCUCCUGAGUGCUGAGGCUACAGGCGUGCACCACCAUGCCCGGCUCUUGGUGUAACUGAAAGCACUAACAGAUUUUUAACAGACAGUAAAUCAUAUUUUCCAAGUACAGGAUGGUGUUUAAAGUGUAUAUAUGUAGUGCUCCCUUCGGCAGCAUGUACACUAAAGUGUGUGUGUGCGUAAUCUACUGUAGUGUGAUCCAGUCUAGCUACUAUAUCUUAGUUCCCGUUGCUGUCACUGUGCAUUUUUCAGGAAUCUGGUCUGUUGUUAAUGACAGUAACCAUGGUCUCCAGUGGAGCUCUUGAGCUUAUUACUUUUCCCUUAAUUGAAAUUUUACAUACUUUGCCCAACACCUCGCCAGCUUUGCCCCCUAAACUGGCCGUUCUACCCUCUUCCCCACAGAGACCAUCUUUUUAUACAACUGACAUAACGUGCUGCAUCUUCUGUGCCUGGCUUGUUUCACUGAAUGUGGCUCCCUCCAGAGUCUCUCCUGCUGUUGCGAACAGCAGGAGUUUCUUUCUUUUUCCAUUAUGACUAAAUAGGGCUCCCUUGUCCAGGUACCACAUUUUCUCUAUCCAUUUAUCCUCUGAUGGAUACCUAGGAUGACCCCAUAUCUUGGCUAUGGUGAAUGUUGAUUUUGUGUCUUGCUUUUUUGGGACCUACAGUUCUAGGGAUUAGUAGGAGUUUUAAUGGAUAAAAGAUGUAUUUAUAUUUCUGAAAAAGAGAAAGAUUCACCCAUCCAAGGUAACAUUUGAAUUUGGGGAUAGGCUUUCUUUAAAUGGAAUAUAGUGCUUAUUUCUAUUUUUAUGAAUAUAUUUAUUAGCUUUAGGUUUUAAAAACUAGGAGAGAACAGUGACUUAUACAUUUAAGGAGUCCAGCCAGCUAGGUUAAAUGCUAUUAAAAUUGUGUGCUAUGGUUGACCCUUGGUUAAAUGACGUGGUUCAGGGACCCAUGGGUUAUCUCAAAGGUAAUUCUCUCCUUCACCUCCCCCCCCCCUCCUCUUCCUCCUCUGCUUCUGUUUCUCAAAUACUGGAUUUCCACACAUAUUUGGCAAGGAAAUUAAAUAAGACAUCAAAAAGUCGUAAGAAAUGAGAACUCUUGUGGGUUUUUUCUUUUCCCAGGAAGUAGAAAAUAUUUUUAGUGACAGGUUAUGCUUCAUUGUGAAAAUACAGUUGGGUAUUGGAGGCCUUCACAAAUCUGAUUUCAGCUCAUUUAGCCGCGGAUGUUAGUAAGCUGUAGGGGAUGGCAGAGGUGAGAGUAAACGGGAGCCCUCAAGCUACCAGUCAGUCGUGUUCUGCACUUCAGAGGAUGGACCUCCUUGGUUUCAGUUUUGUGAGUUUGGCAGUGUGGGUUUCACCAUGUGGCCAGGCUGACCUGGAGCUCCUGGGCCCUGCAGAGCCUGAAGCUUACUCCUCGCUGGUGGCUGACGUGCAUGCACGAGCUGCCACACUCACCUUUGAUACUUUUUCUUGCAGAAUUACUCAGGUUGGGCUGGAUUUUAAUGACUGUCCUGCCUCAGCCUCCCAGGGUGCUGAGGCUACGGGGAGGGGCCACCACACCUAGUUUAUAAAGUUUUUUAAAUUACUGAUUUUUAGGAAAUCUUUGUAUAUGUUAACAAUUCCUUGAUUGCUUUUGUUGGCUGCAUCUGUAAUUGGUGUUUGAGUUGUCUUUUAACUUUGUCUUUUACUUUGUGUGCUUUUAAAUUCAUCACAGUUAACUUUUCUGUGUAUAAGAGAGGCAGAUUAUGAGUUCUAGGGCUGGGGAUAUAGUUCAGCGGCAAGGCGCCUACAUGGCAAGUAUGAGGCCCUGAGUUUGAUUCCCAGUUCCAAAAAACAAAACAAAAAAGAUGAUACAAGUUCUAAUGCUGAUCAUUUGGUCUGUAUCCCCACAUCAAUAUUGUUACCAGAUUGAGGGUUCUUUGAGGCUUUUUCCCCAGGUCCUCGGUGUCCCAAACAAAGAGCAGGAUAAGACAUACAGGAAAGGUGGUGAGGGUGCACAUUUCUUGAAUGUGGAGAAGAAGUCUGCUCCACUGGAGAGUGGGUUGAUGAAGAGACUCUUGCAGCAGCCUUAAGGCCAAGCAGGAAGGGAUCUUUACUCUCCCAGAUUCCUGGAUUGGCCCUGCCCUCUGGCAGUUAACUCACUGGGACCUUUGUCCUAUCAAAACCAACUUGGCCUCCCACCAUUUACACUGGCCAGAUGUAAAUGAAGGAUUCACGAUAGCAUCUUCGGAUUGGACCUGCGAACAGUGCCAGUUUGAAAAUAGCACUUUGGCUAGGCAUGGUGACGCAUGCCUGUAAUCUUAGCACUCAGGAGGCUGAGACAGGAAGAGCGCUCCAGGCUCGAGGCCAAUCUGGGCUACAUAGUGAGUCCUGGCCAGCCUGAACCGAUUGGCUCACGGUACUUAGGAAUCAUAAGCCCCAUGUCAUUUUGGGUCCUGUGGUCUGCAUUUAUCUUGUCUUCUUAGGAGACAUCCCACUCAACCUGUUAGCUGUGAAUUUUUAUGACCUUUGACACAUUCUGCCCAGUUGGGUGGCUGGUUUGCCCCAGCCUUAAUCUCCUGCCUGAGUGUGGCAUUUAAAAAGAACGCUGGUGAUUAGGUUCAAGUCCUUCCUCUAAAAUUGAUUUAACUGGUUGUGACUCAUAAAAUAUUAGAAAACAAUAGUAACAUAGUCAGCAAAAGUGAAUAUUUAUUUCUGUGGUAGUAUUUGGGAAAAACUGGGCUUAAUUACUACCAAAGAGUAAGCAGAAAUUAAUAAACUUUUGAAAAUCAGAACUUUCAUACACUUUCAAGUGGUGAAUUGAACCUAAUUUUUUCAAAUAAAAUCUUUAUUAUAUUUAGUGCCAUUUGUUCAGAGAUAUAGCUGAUUCAUUUGCCACUAAUUUUGUAAAUUAGAUUUCUGGUUUGACUGUAGAAUAAAAAGAAUUUUUUAAGAAAGUAGCCUGGGUCUGUGGGUAGUAAUUAAGUAAAUGGGUGUUGGAGUCACACUGCCUGCCCAGUGAUCUGUGAUUUAAAGCACCCUGAAGGAGGGCACUUAAGAGUGUUAGUUUUACAGAGUGCUUGCAAUGAGAAUGUAGGUUAAGCGUCCACUACUUGGCAAAGGUCAAGGACAUUUUAAGUAGUUAUUCCUAAAGUCAAUUUACAGUUGGUAAGAGAGGGAUGAGGGAGGAGAUUUAGCAAGAUAUAUCUGUACAAGUGAAUUAGAAAGAAAUGGCUUUUGAAAAACUUGGAACAGAGCAGAGUCCAAGUGGUGUGUCCUUCCUGCAAAGUCAGACCACGAGUCAGGUAGUAACAGCUAAGGAACACUAGGUGGCGCCAUUACCCUAGUCUGCUUCUUAGAAUUCUCAGGCUGAGAAGCUGUAGGGCAGAAAAGUGGAAAAAGGCAGUCACAAAUCAAGGGUUUAAUCAGGCAAAUUUGUGCAUUGUUUUAUUGGUUAUAAUUCAAAGUAAUAUUGUAGUUCUGGAUAGUCUCCUCUAAUGAUCAUUUUGAAGAAUUUCUAUUGAGAUUUGUGUUUUAAGGCAGUUUGUCCACCAAAUGAACUAUAUUGUAAAUAUAGCAAUCCAUUCCUUUUUAAUUUUAAAGAUUAUAUAUAAAUACAUUUAUAUUCAGAAUUCAUUAAAACAAGAUAGUCGAAGCUUUCAUAUCGAAGUGAUUCAGUCAGAAGAAACUUGAUGUUUUAAUGAGCUUGAGUGUCCUUACCCUAGGUGGGUGUACGGUUCCAUUUAACUUUCUGAAAUCCUAGAAAAGGUUCCUUUGGGGGUUGGGGAUUUAGCUCAGCGGCAUAAGCGCCUGCCUUGCAAGCAGGCAGUCGUGAGUUCGAUCCCCGGUACCGAUAAAAAGGAAAAAGACAAAAAAAAAAAAAAAAAAAGAAACAAGAAAAGGUUCCUUGAUUCCUGUCACUUCAGGAUUCCAGACUGGGAAUGACUCAAUCCAUUAUUUAAUUUGUGGAGAUAAUUUAGACGAGUGAUGGCAAACCUCUAAGAGCUUUUGAAGAUAACAAAGAGCCCGCCGUGGCACGUGUGCCACAGGUCCACCACCACUGAUUUAACUGUUAGAGUUUUGUUGAUACACCCGUUUGUUCAAGUGAGAGAAACCUUAAAUGGGCUUGAGCGAAUGGAAAUAUUUUUGGUCAAAGAACUGAAAAUCUAGGCAUGACUAACUUCAGGAGAAGCCAGUCAUUCGAAUGAUGUUACUACUAGCCGUUUUCCUUGGUAUCGGUUCUGUUGCACACCGGGUGGGUUGCUGUCCUCAGCUGAAGGCUUAUUUCAUCUUCUUCCUGUCUGUUCUCAAGGCUCCAGAAGAGCUGCUCACUGGGGCACGCUAGGUCUGUCUGUCUGGCUGGCUCGGGCUGCCUUCCUAAUCCCACAAUCGGAGAUCCAGUUUACACCAGUGGACGCAUAUGGAUGAAGUGUUGAAACGAUGGAUUCUAAAAGCCAAUUUGGAUCAUGUUACGGGAAUAAAGCAGAGUCAGGAAUUAAUAUCUCACUUCUCUAAGAAAGUUUUCAUUCCUUUAGUUUUAUGUCACUAGAAUUUGCUUUUGUUUUAAACUGUUUUGUUUGAAUCUUAUCUCUGCUACUAAUUAGUUGUAUGGUUCUCCACAUCCGCUUCCUCGUUGGCAAUAUUGGCAAUGUGACGCCUGUUGGUACACCUGGCCUGCUGCCUGGCAUUAUCGGAUCGCCCAGAAUUGUCGGUUCACUUACAAGCAGGGUGACCGACCAGACGCUUUUGGAUCUUAUCAGGCUUGCUGUGUGUCUCAAAUUAGUCUACAGUCUGUGAAUGUCACAAACGUAAACUCAUCAUGGUCAAUUAAAGAUUAUCAAUUUAAUUUACUAACUUAGUGCUUCAAACGACAGUUGGUAGAUUCUGGCCUAUUUCUGACUUAUUUGUAUUUUUAUACUUUAUAGAUUUGGCUUCUGAAAGGUUUUUGUAAUUAAUCUUUGUUGAGAAAUAUAAAUUGUCUUUAAAGACUAGUAAUAAAUAUAGUGAAAUUAUGAUAAAUGGGUUUAUUGCUUGGGGAAAUAAUAUAAACUGCUUCAUGUGUUUGAAGAAUGUAGGAAGUUGGCAGCACGGGAGAAGGAUGAAUGAUUAAGUAUGUUUUAACUUGUUUUUUAAUUAAAGUUCUUCAUAGCUGUGUAUAGCACUCAGAAAUGUAUUUUAAAUGUAACAAUAAUUUUUCAGUUCCCAUUCAUCUUCAUUAGCAAAUAUUACUUGUAUUCAUCAUAAUAUUUUAUCCUCACCAAGUAUAAGGCUUUUAUAAUCCAUUUAGGUUAACUGGUGUGCAGUCAAGAAAAAAAGCCUCCAUAAUGGCUUUUAAAGUAUGUAAACAUUAUAGAUUUAGUAACUCACAUUUCUAAUAAUUAACAACUCAAUGAAACUCUGGAUAACGAUUGAGUAGAACUAAUUAUUUUCCUUAAAAUAAUAUAGUAGUUCAUCAUUACUUGACUUCUGGCUAUCUGAAUCUAGUUCGCUAUACUCUGUGUUAUAGUAGUGUCUCAUUCAGAAAUGAGAAGUACUAAUGCAGAGUGCAAAAAGUUCUUUUCCUUAAUUUCCACCAUAUAACAUUUUAUAGACACAGAUGAAGCCGCAGGAGACACGAUGUGUUCAAUCGUUCCCUCCUUAGUAUUGUGUUUGAUUUUUGCCCUGUGUGUGCUUUGUUUGUGUUUCAGUUGUAAUUUAUCUUUAGGGAAAUCAUGUUACACAGGUAUAUAGGCAGUAAGAAUAUGAGAUGCUAACAAGGAGAAGAGAUAGAAAUCUCUUCUGAUGGUAAUUAAAAGCAGGGAGAGUUUGAUUUGUUCACUCGGAGGAAGGGUCUGGAAGGACAGGCAAACGGCUGCACUCGUGAGCAGUAGUGUGCCUGUGACCCGGCGAGGUGUUCUUUUAGCGGGUUAUGUCUUUUGACAUCUCAGAAAUUAAAAGAAAGACAGUUAAGAAUAUUUAACACUAUUUUUAACAGCUAUAUUUAAAAAUAGCUAUAAUAAGGCCGACAUAUAUUAAUACAAGCACACUCUUUUUUGGUGAAAAUAACUGCUUUCCCAAACAACAACAACAACAACAUAGUAAAAAUAGUGGUACUGUUUUACGGGUUUGCAGAUCUCUUUAAUGUCUUACUUCAUAGAAGACAGCUGGAUUCUCACCUGUUUCUGCAUUCAAUCUAUUGAAGUUUUUUAUUUUGUUUUGUUUGAAAUAUACAUGAGCGAAAUAAGGCCUCACACACACACACACACACACACACACACACAGCAGCGGCUGCUGCUAAGAACACACUGAGUUAAUCCGUGGAAACACGCAUCAUGACACUCUAGACCGAUUCCCUUAAAAUUUCGUUUAUUUUUUUUUAUUUUAUUCUUUUUUUGUCAUUUUUUUUCCUUUUUAUUGGUACCAGGGAUCGAACUCCUGACUGCCUGCUUGCAAGGCAGGCGCUUAUGCCGCCGAGCUAAAUCCCCAGCCCCUUUUUUUUAAUUUUUAAUUUUUUUUUUGUCUUUUUUUUUCCUUUUUAUCGGUACCAGGGAUCAAAGAUUCCCUUAAAAUUUCUUAAAGGAAAACAAAAGCCAAACCUUGAAAAGCUGAGAACAACACAAGCAUCCAUUCCGUUACCUACCGGAAUGCUAUCAUUACAUGGUAGACUGUGAAACUCCACGUUAAAGAAUAAAAUUGUAAAAAAGAAAAACCAAAUGCCUUUAACUUCUUGGAGUCUCUGAAAGGGCUUUGAGGACUCUUUGGUCCUGGUACCAUAUCGGAGAGCUGCCGGCCUGCGUGAUGGAACAUAAUCCCUGAGAGACACUGGUGGAAAUUCCUUUGGAUUUAUAGCAGGGCCUGGGCAUCCAUAUCAGAUGUCUUGUUGAUCUUAUGUUAAAAGACCAUGAAUCUGAGAAUUUAAAGGCUCCGUAAGAAUGUACACACUGCUGGUCAAACUUGUCUUCCGCAGAGAUAAUUAUGUGGGCAGAAGGCCCUUAAAAAUGCGGUGCCGCCAGAGGGGCAAAGCAGCCAUUGCGGGCGCCACAGCUGCUGGAGAGUUUAUUUUGGCACGUGUGAAGACAUCAUAUAGAAGAAAACAGUUAUUUCUUAUGACCAGCUUUAAUAUAGACAAAAUUGGAAUACUUAGGGCGAAAAAAGCCAAGCGAAAUUCCUAGAACAGUGAGUUAGGAGUGGAGAACAGCAAUGUAGUCGUUAUUUGGCAGGAGUGUGAUAGGGACUGGUCACUUUAUUUCAAGGAAAAAAAAGAACGGAACCUACUUCUAAGCAGGGCCUUCUGUAUUGAGAAUUUUUCUUGGUAUCACAGAUAUUUAUCUCACUGUCACGUUGUGGGGGUUUUGAUGCCUCCGAAUUGGCAGUUGUUCAACCGAGGCUUGGAGACAGAAUAGACCUCACUUAGAUUUGGCAGUAAUUAAGUGUCAGUCCUAAUGUGGAAAUUUCAGCUCUAACACUAUUGAUUAAGCGCUGAAGCCACUUAAGUUUUCAUGCUUAGGGAUUCAAGCUCUCUGUAUUCUACAUUUUUAGUUAGGUAUAUUUUAAGGCAAUUUUCCUUUUAAAUGUAUUGCUUUUUUCUUUCUAAUAGUGCAUCAAAAUUAUAAUUACAGUACUACAUUUGGUUUGGCAAAGCCAUUUUACAUUUUUAUAUUAGCUUAAACUUCCCAUUGAUAUGUCAGGCAAAUAAAUACUGCUUUUUUUGUGUAGAAAUCAACUGCACUACAAAUCCACUGGUACUAAAUUAUUUGCAGGCAUUUAAAUGUAGGGAAACCUUAAUUAUUCUGAGUAUACUUGUGUUAUGAUGUGUGGAUGAUUUGUUUACUUGUCUUUAAUGUGACUCAGUCAAAAUAUAUGUAGUUAUUUGCAUAAAGGGGAAGUGUUGCUAAAUAUCUUGCUUUACUGAAUGUUACUGUAAAAUUAAUUUUCCUCAUAAGGGAUACAAGAAAUGUAUUCACUCAUUUCUAUUUCUUCUAAUUAAUUUCUAUAAAAAUAUAGACUUAGUACUUUUAUAACACAGGAGCAGUAGAACAAAAUGGUAGGGAAGCAGUAUUGGUUGCUGGCAGGAUCCGAAAAGAUUUGAUAUCAGCAGUCGGUCUCAAUCUCCCCAUACACAGCCGCUGUAGAAAGGCUGGUUGAUCGUGACUGUUGACAUUGUGACCUCCUAUCUGAGCAUCUUUAAUCACAGAGCUGCAGUAGUGCUGUUCUUUGAAUUUCUUUUUCCUCCAGUACCAGGGAUUGAACCCAGUGCCUUUGCAUUGAGCUACAUCCCCAGCCUAAUUUUUAUUUUUUAGACAGCCUCUUACUAGGUUUCCCAGGCUGGCUCCAACUCACAGUCCUCUUGCCUCAGCCUCUCAGAGGGCUGAAAUUACAGGCCGGCACCAGCGUCCUGGGUUUAAGAUACACUUAUUUCAUUUCCCAGCUGACACCGUCUCACAGCACUUACGUACCAGCUGAUGCAGCUUGUUUUCUGAUUUUACUGUCAUUUCCAUCAGCUACGGUGGAAACCCCUUAAAGUUGGGAGCUGCAUCCCAUUCCGGCCACAUGGCUGGUACACGAAGGAACCUAACUCCUAUUAUAUAAAGAAAGAAGGAAGACUAUAUUUAAAAUCUGCCUGAUGAAGGCAUUGUAAAUGUGCUUUAUUUUUUUAUUUGAAUUAUAGUCAAAAAUAGUAUUAUAUUUACUUAAUUUGAUAAUCCCCAAAUGGUAGUGUUUUACUGCUCUUUGUUGUGAUAGGUAAGUUCUAGGGCAUACGUGUGUAAUUCCAGUCAGUUAGGUGUAAAGUCUUACACUUACAGAAGUUGGCUUGCUUUGCCCGAGUGUCACGUCAUUUAAUACCGGCCAUCACUUUUUCCAUGCUUUUAAGAACCUUUGCUUCUAAGAACCUGGUACAUGAGAACCAGCUCCAAGCUGGGCACAUGCCUAUAAUCCCAGCACUCAGGACGCUGAGGCAGGAACACUGCUGUGAGUGCAGGGUUAGCCUACACUACAUAACAAGACUGUGUCUCAAAAGAACGAGCUCUAACAGCCUUUGCCAGGGUUUUAACUGCUUUGUCAUAGAUUUGACUUCAAUAGUGAUCAGAAUUAAAAGUCCACAGUAGUCAGGUGUUGCUUAACUGGGAGGCAGUGGUUCAGAGGGCAAAAUUCCACAUCCUGGCGGCUCAGUAGUGGCUGCUCCCUGGAGUUGGAGGCUGAUGGUAGAAGAUGGUUUAUAAAAGCAGACUCCGCAGGGCAAGGGGGAUGAUAGGAUCCUGGGAUAGUAAAAGCUUGCUGGUAACACUUAGCAGGGAAAAUGGAUUAGUUUUCUGUUGCCACCAUAACAAAUUGCUACAAACUGAGCUUCCAGACGUACCUUUUAUGAUCUCAUAGUUUAUAGAUCUGUCAUAGUGUAUCUCACUGAGCCAGUUCUCUGCUCUGGGACCCCCAAUUUUUUUCAUGAGAUGAGGUCUCACUAAGUUGCCCAGAUAGCCUUGAACUUGAGGUCCUCCCCCAUCGGGCCCCUGAGGCACUAAGGCAUAUCCACUGUGUCCUUCACCACGUUUCAUGAGACUGAAAUCAUGAUGCUGGCAGAUUGUGUUCUUUACUCGGGACUCUAGGGAUGAAUGUUUUCAAGCUUAUGCAGGUUGUUGGCUGGAUUUAGUUAUGUGUAGUUCUAAGACUGAAGUUCCCAGUUGCUUCCUGACUAGCGGCCAAAGAUCUUUUUACGUGUUCAAUCACCACUGUGUCUGUAGUUGUAUGUGUGUUUUUAAAAGCGUAGAACUUUAUUAUACCUUUGCUUUCUAUUUCAUUGAUUUUUCCCCAUCUCCUUUUAUGUUUUUUGAUUUAUGUUUUUCUUUUCUAAUAUCUUAAUGUGACCACUCAGCUCAUUUGUAGUCUUUUGCCCUCCUAAGGCAAACAGUUAAGGUUUUCCAUUUUCUUCACAACUCUGUGUGUAAUCCAGAUUUUGGGAGACAAAUGUUUCAAUUACUCAUUUCUAAGUAUUUUUAAUUUCGUUAUUUCUUUUGAGCCCAUUAAUUAUUUGGGAUUUUUUUUAAAAUAUGUAAUUCUAAAAAAUUGUUUUUUAUUGGGAACCCAGCCAAGAGUCCCGAUUGUCAGUCUCAAGAAUGUCGCGAAAAAAAUAAAAAACAGAGACAAGUAUCAUAUUCCAGCAGUGGCUGGGAAGUCAAUGUCUCUGGGUUUGACCUCUCCACUCCCAAAACAGCCACUAUUUAUUUGGUCUAUACAGUGAUAGGUGGGGCCAGCACAGGAUUACAAUUCAUCCAAAGACUCUGACUCCAGAGGGUGUAGAUAAUUUUAUGUUUGAAGUAGCUUGACAGAGUAUAAUCCUGUGAUGAUUUAAGAAGGCGUAGAUGAUCCUAUGCUUGGAAGAGUCUGAUGGGAAAUCCCAGAUGGGUGAUACAAACAAUCUCAGUCCUUCCUUUCAUCCCACAGGGAAAUAUGCAAAGCCAGGCACUGAAUUGUGGUCCCCAGCAGUUUCUAAGCUGGGUGUGGUGGCUCACACCUGUAAUUUUAGCAUGUGGGAGACUGAAGCAGGAGGGUCGCUGUGAGUUUGAGGCCAGCCUGGGUUACACAGUGAGUUCAAGGCCUGCUGGAACUACAUAGCAAGACCUACAUAAAUAAAUAAUAAAAAUAAAAUAAAUAAAUAAAAAUAAAAAGUUGUUUUUAAAAUUUCAUCUCAUAUUUUUUAAGAACGAGGCAUGUGAUAUCUGUGCUUAUAAAUUGAAAGAAAACAUUUAAUUUUUUAAUACCUGAUUAGUUUGUGUACUUUUUUAUUUGUGUUUGAUAAAAACAUGAGUUCUUUAAUUGGUGGGUGCUGAAGUCUGUUUAUUCAAAACGUCAUUAUGUGAUUGGCUUUUGUUUUUUUGUUUUUAACCAGUACUAGCUAUGAACCCUGGCCUCCUUUCUGCCUCAGCCUCCUAGAAUGCUGAGAUUACAGGCAUGUGUCACUGUACCAGCUGAGGGUCUUCUUUUUUUUUUUUUUUAAUAUUUAUUUUAGUACUGGGAAUUGAACUCAUGACCUAGUGCUUACCAGGUAGGUGCUGUGUCACUAAACUAUGUCCCCAGUCCUGAGGAUCUUUUUUUAAAAAAUCACUUGCUUUUCUCUUUUCUGCAGAAUGUCUGCUAAUAUCUUACCUCUGUGCAACUUUUUCUUUUUUAGGGGAUUAUUAUUCUAGUGAUUUCUGGGAAUUUUUGUUAUAUGUUAGGAAUAUAAGCCAUUUGUCUAUGACAUGACUCACAAACCUUUUUACAAGAUUGUAGUUUGAAUUUUUGUUUUUUUGUGCUUGCUAAGCAAGUAUUCUACCACUGAAGUACAUCCCCAGCCCUGGAUGUUUGUUUCAAUGAUUUUUGCCAUGGAUAAUUUUUAUUGUUAUAUAAUUGAACGCAUUGUUUCUUUUAAGAUUUCUAAAUGCAUUUUUAAAAUGUUAAAUAUCCCACUCAUUUAUCCUUUUACUUUAUUUUUGACAGUCAGCUAUUCAUCUUGUUGUUCUAUACUGUUUAUCGUCAACUCUUUUUUCUUCCAUAUUAUCUUAAGUUAUCACUGUUACCAUAUGUUAGGAACUAAAUUUUUAUGCUUAUUCUGGUUUACCUGUGGAAUUUCUUUUAUAUUUUCAUUGGUGUGGUUUUUAAAUUUUAUGUACAAAUUUAAUUACUGGAUUAUUAUAAUAGUUUUAUUUUGAAUUGAACUGUUUUUCUGUUUAUUCCAGCAUUUCAUCAUGUUCUGUUAUCUGACAGAUCCAUUCCACAGAAACAGAAACUAUUGCUUUCAUGGGGGGAUUAUGUUAAAGUUCAGAAUUCAAAGGGAAGGGAUCAAGAGAUGAGUGGAGGGGAGGGAGGGAAGGGAAAGGGAUGGAAAAAGAAUUAAGAUCUGUUAUGUACACGAACCAGCUUCCUGCAAAGAAUGUAAACAUGAUGUACUGUGUAUAUGUACUGACAGAUAAAAAAUUUUUAAAAAUUAACCUAAGGUAGGGCUGGGAGUGAACUCAAUGCUAGAGCACUGGCCUAGAUUUCAGUUUAGUUUUAUACAUUGCAAAUCUUAUAGUUAAAAAAGUAAGUUUAUCUUUUUAAAAAGUGUAUUUGUGAAUCAAAAUGUAUGUUUUGCUUUGUUGAAACAGUGUCUCACUUUGUGGUUCAGGUUGGUCUUGAACUCACUUUGUAGCCCAUACUAGUCUGGAACUCACAGUGAUCCUUCUGCCUCAGCCUCCCAUGCUGGGAUUACAGGCUUGCACCACCACUCCUGGCCUUGCUUUUGUUUUAGACAGGGUCUCACUAUGCAGUUCAGGCUGGCCUUGAACUCAUUAUGUACUCGAGGCUGGCCUGAGACUUGUGAUCCUCUCGCUUAGCCUCUGAAGUAAUGGGUUACAGGUGUGCACCACUGCACCUGGCCAGAAGUACUACUAACAUUUCGUAUAUGUUUACCCAUCUGCUAGUAGGUUCAGUUAAUUAAAAAAAAUUUUUUAAAGCGAUGCAAUAAGCUUCAAGUAGUAAUGCAUUUCCCUCUUAAUUUCCAAUGUUUUUAACUCUAAUUUGCUUCCUUUUGUUUAAUGGUAUUGGCUAAUAUUUCAAUAUGGUGUUAGGUAAAAAUGGUAAUAGUGGGCAUCCUUGUUUUAUGGAUAACUUAGAAAAUCAAUGAUACAGUUAUACAUUCCAUAAUGUAUUUUCAGAAAGUAUAUUCUUACAGAUUCUUUCUGAAUUUCUUCUAUUGGAUCGUCCUGUUGCAUUUUAUGCUUUUCUUCUUACUGCUACGUUGCUUUUAGCGGAGCUUACAGCAAAUAUUUGUAAUUGUUCGAUGCCAUUGUUGACUACUCUAUCUUCAUUAGUUUACAAUACCUGCUGACUAUUUGUUUCUUAAUUUUACUAAAAGGAAGAUGCGGUUUUAUCUAUCCUUGAUUUGUGUGUGAAUUCCAGUAUGAGGAAGAAAAAAGCCUACCAUCAGUGUACACACUAAAGGUUAUGAAAAUUGACCCAUACCAGGUAUUGUUAGGAAAAAGAAAGUAUCCUGAACACAUUUGUAGAAAAAAAAAAAUUCAGCUUCCAGUAAUGAUCAAAACUCAGAAUGGCAGCAGAUUUUAUAACAGCAACACUGAAAAUCUGGAAGCCAGUGGAGCAUCGCUUGGAAAAUGCAGGGGGAGUUUUGACAAAAACAAAAAUGAGACACAGUGCUGAGGCCUGGGAGGGCUUCCCACUCAGAAUGCCCACUUUAAUAAGCUGGUUUUAUAAAACUAGUAGCCAAAGAGAAGAAUAUGAUCACUAAAAUCUUAAGUACUUCAAUUCCAUGCAGGGACUGAGAAGAACAGAGUUGUAUCUUAAUUUAGGAUGCUGCCAAUCUCAUUUUGAAACUACUGUCUGGAAUAAUUUAACGAUUUAGGGAAGGUAUCAUUUCUAACUCCCUACCUUCUAGGAACCAACGUGGAGAAUAAAAUUGGAAAAUCUCAAAUUGUGGUUUGUUGAAUUUCUUUCUGCCCUCGUAUGAUCAGUGUAUUUUCCAGUUCUCAGUUUUCCCCUCUAGAAAGUAGCCCUGGGGUUUUGGCCUUGAUGCAAAGGGGCGGACUGUGUGGGAAGUACGGAGAGGCUCUCGGAGUCUGGCUGCUUCUUGAAAAUUUUUGGUUUUUCUCAGCUUCUGUGCCCUGUCUUCGCUCCCAUUCCUGGAGAUCUAUAAUGCCACCGUGUACUACUUUUUGGGGUGCGGCAGUGUAAGUUUGCUUCCCGGCUUGCUUGUGCCUUUCUGCACUGCUGUUCAGGAUUCAGCUUCCUGCAGUCUGUGGAGUGAGUCCCAGCUCCUCACCCUGCACUGCGGUAUCCGUGUUACUGUCGUCUCCUUUUUUGUUCUUCUUGUCCCUGAGAGUCACUUUAUUGAGAGUGAGAGUUCUGGAGGAAAUAGACAUUCACACAUGUGUUGAAUCAUUUGUUUUCACUGGAAGUUUGGCAUGUAUCUUGAAUUACAGCUUUUAUUUUGUCUUAAUUUAGUUAGAAAAUUAAGCCUUCAAAUGAGAUGCAUAUGCAUGUAAGCAGAAUUGAGACAUUAAAGGUUACAUGUGUGAUUUUUUUUUCUUUUCUUUUUACUUUCUUUUUCUUUUCAGUACUGGGGAUCAAACUCACAACCUCACACUUGCCAGGCAGGUACUGUGCCUCUGAGCUGUAUCCCCAGCCCUGUAUAAUAUUCAUUUGAAGCAUUUAAUGAAAAUUUAGUUGUAUUAUUAUUGCAUUGUGUGAAAAUAAUGUUGAUGCUUUACUUUUGAUGCUGUUGAUUUGACAUCUUAGUUUUAGAUGGAAGUUAUGUUCUUUAUUGGGUUCUGUGUUCUUCUUUACUUUCAGGGACUAAUUCUGAAUCACUUUACCCCAAUCAUGGUUAUUUUAUUCCCUUUGUUCAUCAUCUAAUAAUGAGUGGCCAAUAAGAUUGAAGAGCAAAUUCACUGAGAAACUUGUCCUUUUCUUUUAUCUUCCUCCUCCUCCUCCUGUUCUUCCUCCUCUUCUUUGUAAAUAGUUCCAAGGAGACAGACUUGGUUCUGAUCUUCACAUAUUAUAUAAAGUCAUGCUUAUAAACUAGUAUAGCUGUUUUGAAACCAUUAGAGGACAAAAGACAGCAGACCAAGGUUGGCACAGGAGAAUUGGGAAGGGAGUUAGAUCUGUGAUGAGAUUUUAAACCACUAGCUGUGGUCUGAACAUUUUCUCCUGUGAGAUAAUAAUUGUCUGAUUGGCUGAGAAAAACCAAUCAAAAUAAAUACUGCUCAUAUCUGGCUAAAAAGAAACCCUAGGUAAACAUUGUAAAGUUUAGAUUAUAUAAGUAUGAAGAUCAAAAGUAUAAACUUUAGAGAAAUUGAUAAUUCUUGUUUUUCAUUAAAAUAUACUGAAUUGAAAAUUUAUGGCAUGUUCUUUCAUUAUUGUGUCUUUGUCCAUAAUUUGUAUACACCUUUUUAGUUGCUUGGUAAAAAUGAUGAUUUUAACCUUUUGUUUUAAUGUGAUUUAGAUUGACCUGACACUUUAAUAAAUCUGACUCCUAUAACUGAUUAAAGAAAAAUUCUAUUUGCUGAAAUACACACAUUUUCUCUAUGAAGUUGGUUUUCUUUUUUAUCUAUGACUCCUUUGCCAAAUUGUAUGAAGCACAUGUUUUUGAUACUGGUGUUGCAUUUUUAAUUAAUAUUUCAGAUGCAAAAGGUGACAGUUUAAAAGAUUGUUUUGUUAGUGGGUUAUCCUUAAAAGCAAGUGGCAUUUGGUUUUAUUUUACAAUAGAAUUUAAUCUUACAUGUUUUUUGUUAAAGUAAUGUUACCAAAAAAUCUCCUAUUGAACUAUUUGUGGUGAGCUUUUUAAGGAUGUUUAAGAUUUCACAUGCAGUUUAACUGAUCACAGAUGAGGUUGUAAAUUAAUACCUCAUGAGCGUAUUUGACUGCAGGGCUUUGUUUAUGAAUCAAAACUGCUUUGUUCCUGUAAACUGUGAAAGGGGCUUAAGCAUAUGGAUUAAAACUGCAUGGUGACACUAAAGUACUUAUGAAAAGACGCUGUAGCGGGAUCAUUUAAAAUGUACUAAAAUGUUAUGAAUAGCCAUAAAAUGUAAUAAUUCCCUUAAGCUUUUUAAUAGUUAUAAGAUUUAGUUUUAUUUCUUUGUUGGAUUUAACCACCUUAAUAAAGAAAUUGUUUUGUUGCUUUUAAAGCUGCAUGUAGUAAUAAGAAUAAGCAUUGGCGUGGCAUGCUGAUGAGAACAGCUGAAUUUUCCUCAAAAACAUGUAUUUUUGCAGGCAUUCUCAUGGCCAUUUGAAUCAUGCCUCCUUCAUAAAAUUAUGACAAAAGUAGGUGUUUGGCCCUAAGUUUUAAUUUACAAUUCAUGUAAAAACCUGGUGUAGAAUGCACUCUUCUGGGUGUGACAAACUGUCGAGGAUCUUUUGAGAAAAUACCGGAGCAUAGUUAGGGACUUGCUCUGGAAGACAGUGCCAAGUUCUGACUUCGUGGAGCAGAAGCAGCAUUCAGCCGGCCUAUUGAGUCAGUAAAGCUAAUACCUACGAGAGUGUUAGGAAGCUUUGGGAGUUCUUCACUGUGUACCUUUUUAGUUCCCACCAUGUUCCUAGAAAACAGUGGCACUUACUGUACACAUAUUCUGUUUUGUACUAGCUGGUUAGUUGUUCUCAUGUAGAUGAAAUUUCCAGUACCAGAUAUCACAUUACCUUGGACUCUUCCAUUAUAAUUACCUUUAUUUCCAUUCCAUUUGGUCACUCCAUUUAUUUACUUCUUAUGGAGACAGGUUUCACUAUGUAGCUUAUGCUGGCCUUGAACUUCCCUGUAUAGUCCAGGCUGGGCUUAAACUGAUUGUCCUGCCUCAGUUUCUCGAGUGCUGGGGUUACAGGUGUAUGCCACCAUCCCUGGCUGUUUAAUUUACUGAGAUAAGAUCUUGUCAUGUAUUCCCUGGAACUUUCGGUGAUACAUAUGCCGCAGAAUCUCAGUUGCUGGGAUUACAGGUAUGUGCCACCAUGCCUGGUGAGCACCCCAUUUUAUGACCCUGUUCUAUGCCUAACCCCACCCAGAAUAUUUAUUAAAAAUGUCCUUUUUAGCUCCUUCCUAGCUUCACUUUACUCUGUUUACACCCAACCCGAGUGAUGCAGUAAUUUAUUUCAGGAGCAUCCUGUCAUUUACUCUCAAUUUUCUCCCUUGACCUUGUCAGUUUCUUAAUCUGGGUCAGUGUAAGUGUGCAUGUUGCUUCUGGACUUGUUAAUCCAAUUAACUUAUUUUGUCCUCCCAGCUUUGUUUGGCCAGCUUUGCGACCUACUCUUAAACCUUCAUAAUCAGGUUGUUUACCAGUGCCCUUCCUCCUUUGUGUACUAGGGAUUGAACCCAGGGCCUUCACACUGACCUAAGUCUCCAGCUCAUUUUAUUUUUGUAUUUUGAGAGUCUUGCUAAGUUGCCCAGGUGGGAUUCAAACUUGUGAUCCUCCUGCCUCAGCCUCCCACUGAGCCAGGGUUACAGGCACGUGCUCACUGCCUGUCUUACCGUUUCUUACUGCCUUCUGAAAUGGCUCUCAGAUCUUACCCUUCUUUUUUAUUUCAUCUCUGGUGCCCUCAUCUUCCUGUUUCGCCUUAAGUGCCAUAGCGCUCUCUCUGGCUCCGUUCCUCCUCUGGCUCUCUUUCUCCAGUUUUCUGUUACAAUCAAACAUGAGAAACUGGAUGCCUGACUCCUGUCACAUCAACUAACAGACGCUCCUUUCAAUAGUGAUCUUCAGUAUGAGGUGCCAAAUCUUCUGGGUCUAUGUAUUAGCCUGUAUUUGCUUUUAAAAACACCCUGAACAUGAUCUUUUCCUUCCUUCUGGUAUCUUAAAAGAUCUUUUUAAGGACUUGUAAUCUACCCUGUAUCGUGCUGUAGGAAUCAUCUUUCAGAAAUAGGGAUUUAUUGAUUUUACAAAUGUAUAACUUUUUUUUUUUGCCAAGUACUAGAUUAGCUCCUGGAAUUACAAAAAUAAAUGUUGAUACUUUCCUUUGAGAAAAAUAUUAAUGAUACUACGCAGUUGUCAUUUGCUAGAACUUUUUUUAGGUUCUAGCCGCUUCAUGUAUUAUCCUGCUAAUUGUUCUUCAGCAUAGAUAUUAUUAGCCACUGUACAGAUUAGCAAAUGAAGUCUCAGAGUGGUCAUACAUUGAUUCAGUAGUCAAAGGUGUGUGAGGAUACAGGUUAAGGGGACCUCAGAGAGCACAGAGGUAGUAUCUUAGUUUCUUUCUUGUCACUGAGAUACAACCUGACGUCCACAACUGUAAGGAACAAAGGUUUAUUUUGGUUCACAGUUUGAAGAGGUUUCAGUCCAUAGUUUCCUGGCUCCAGGGCAGGGCAGCAUGGCAGAGGAGAAAGAGCUCACGAUGCGGCAGCCAUUAAACACAGAGAGAGGGAUCAAGGGAGGAGGAGGGCAAAGGACCCUUCCAGGCCACACCCACUGUGACCCACUUCCUCCCCACCAGACUCCACUUCCCAACAUCACCGUUAGCUGUAAGUUAUCCAUGGACUAAACCACUGAUGAGGGUUGUGGCCCCACGAUCCAGUCACCUUCCUAAAGCUGCACCUAUGAGAGCUUGAGGCUUUGGGAGACAUGUUGACACAAGCAAUUAUAGAAGAAAUAUCUACUUUAGAGUUGGAAGAUUGGCAGCAUAGGCUUCACAGAGAGGCUGUUGCCUUAACUGGAUAUUUUAAGACUAUUAGGAACUUACGCAAAAGUGAUAACCCAGUAGGAAAUGGGUGUAGGGCGUAGUUGUGCUUGUAAACAGUCUUUAACAAAAGUAUGGAGACCUUUUAUGGGAAAGCCAUAUCAGUUGGGAGAAGGAAAGCGAUUUAGUAGCUUACCUAUAAAGGCAUUAAGCCAGGCCAUCUCAUACGCAGUGCUGAGAAGCUUAGAAUCAUAGUAAAUGGUGAGAAUCAUUUUAAGUAGAAGAGUUAUUUGAUUAUACAAUGUGGAGAAUAGAUUGGAAGAAACUUUUAUGCAGUAAAAAAAGACCUAUUAGACUAUUGGUAUAAACCAAAUAAGAAAUACGAAGGUCUUGAGUGUGGCAGUGGGUUUUGAAGAGGAGAGAGGCAGAAUUGAAGGCUUUUGGGAGGUAGAAUUAAUGAAUUUAGUGGUCAAAAAAGUGAAUGGGAGAAAUGAUUUCUCAGGGUGCAGUCACAAUGUGAAGGUGAUACAUAAUGUUGGACAUUCUUUUUUUAAAAUACAGGAUAUUCUUAAUAAGCACUGAGUAAGUAUUUGUGUAAACUGCUCCCUAAGUGGUCUCCCAGCUGUUUGUGAAAGGGUGUUACUUUGGCCCAGUGGGAAUUAAGACUUUUUUUAAUUUAUCAAGGAUUUGUUGAAUGCUCAAAGGCCCAGGACAAUUUGGGUACUGCAAGACAGAGCACAGUAGACUUUGUAAGACUUAUCUCUUUAAUUAAAUCUCUUCAGUUUAAAUGGCUUCAAGUAUCUUUUCCUAUCUUUUAGUUUUGAAAACAAACUGAUAAUCUUGUUAGAUCCAGCAAACUUGUGUUCUUUGUUGUGGUUUAUAAAGAAUGAUAUUUGCGGGGCUGGGGAUUUAGCUUAGCGGCAUAAGCGCCUGCCUUGCAAAUGUGCGGUCAUGAGUUCAAUCCCUGGUACCGAUAAAAAUGGAAAAAAAAAAAAAAAAAAAAGAAUGAUAUUUGCAGUUACCUUGGCCUGGGAAAAUAGUAUGGUUCAUAAUAUAGUAGAGACCAGAUCUACCAUUUAUACAUUAAGGCCAGUAUUAGCACAGUUAAUGCUCACAAAAUGCCAACACAAAGCAGUUACUUGAUAGUACCUUCAUUUUACAGAUAGGAAAACUGAGUCCCAGAGAUCUGCUUAUGGUCACAUAGCUAGGAGUUGAAAAGGCAAGGUUUGAAUGUAAGUGGCUGCAUUUAUCCUGAACCUUAAGAUAAAGGUCCCAAUUUAGAAGAAUGUACUCGUGAAUGGUCAGCACAUACACAGGAGUGAGUGGAUAUGAUAGCUCAACAUAAAACUCUAGGGAAGAAUGACUCAGCUACGGUUUAAGGAAAUUGAUAUUAAUGGGCUGGCCGGAAGAACAAGGAAUCACAGGAAAUGGAGAAGUAACCAUGACAUAUGAGAAUGUUGAAUCCUGUUAGCUAAGGUAGGUGUACAAAUGGCAAAUGUCUCAGUGCUGUUAACUGAGUAGAAGAGAAAAAUUGUGUAAAAUAUAUUCAUAUGCUUUAUAAAUACAUUUUGCAUAAAAUGAGUACAAAGUCAUUUGCAUUUACAUACAUUAUUUGAUUUAGAAAUACAUUCUAUAAAUACGGUUCCUUCAAAUACAGUAUCAUAUUACAUGUUCAUUAUAUAUGGAAGCCCCAAACAAAGAGAGUACAGCUGUUUUAAAAAUUAUUAGACAUAAAUGCAAAGCAUACUUGAGAGAUUUUGAGAUUAUUAGGGAAAACAUUUAAUGUGAAACGUUUUGGUUUAAUUAUUUUGAGGUGUAAUCACGAAAGGUUCAGUACUGAAAUUGUUAAAUCAACCUGUGGAACAGUGAAACAUGACUGAUAGAAAAUGUGUGAGGACAAGAUGAUUGCUUUGUGAAAUUUUAAAUGAUGCUUUCAGUAGAAAUCAUAUAAAUCCAUUGUGGCAAAGGAAAAAACUGAACAUGAUAUACAAAAGUAAAGUUUUAAAACUUUGCUAUAGAGUCAUAUAUCUGGACAUCUCUUUUUUGUUUUAGUACUGAGGAUCAAACUCAUGACCUUGUGCUUGCCAGGCAGGACUUGUGCUGCUGAGCUAUAUCCCUGGCCUGUCUCCUUGUAUUUUUGCCACAAUUUACUAUCUAAAAAUACUUCAUUAGGUUGGGCUAUAUAGUAAUACAGUAGAAAAUAUCAUCUAUGAUAGGUGACAGCAUAAUUUGACUUUUAUUAAUAGUCAUGGAAAGUAUUUUGUUUGAAAAUAUUUUUAGAAAGCAUUUAUAUGAGAAAACAAGCAAUGUUUUAUAAACCUGUAAUGCAGCUGACUGCGUGUGAUAGUGGAUACUUUGAAAAUCAUGUCAGUAUCUAGGAAACGGUCAGAAUUCCACAGCUUGUAUACUUCAGAGUUUAUCCUCAGUAUUGUUGAAUUGAACCAUGAUGUGGCAUAAAGCCUGGAUUAAGCUUUGUUGCGAUUCAAACAUCCCACCAAAACUUUUUUUUUGAAAAAUAAAACAAACUAUUCAUAUGGCUUCUUGCAUGAAUGACAGUUUUGACAUGACCCUUUGCUUUUCAUAUAGUAAAUAUUUGUUGAAUUGGACUAAGCCUUUCAUUUCUCUAAAGUACAUGAAAAUUGGGCAUAACCAAUGAUAUCCUUGGAACCAUGAUGAAAGUUAAAAUUAUUUUUUAAGUGUACCUUAUUUUUUCAAGUAGCAUGUUUUUUUCUAGUUUUGAAUGCUGUGUUUUUGUUCCGAAUUUGGAAAACACAUAAAGAUUAAAUAAAAAACUUAAAAUCACUGGUAAUUCGAUGACUAUAAUACUCAUAUUACCAUGCUGUGUUCUCUUUCAACUAAUUUAUCUUUUUAAAAUGCAGCCAUGCAUUUCAGGUCCUAACACACCUGAAACCCUGUUUCAAAAAGGCCAAAAAAAAAAAAAAACAAAAAAAAAAAAAAACCCAAAA